rnacentral:lncRNA from 1 species
UCGCUAUAUAAAAAAAUAUAGAAUUUAAAUUUUAGAACUAAAAUUUUAGAAAUAUAGUGCAUAUGUGUAUAUAUGUAAUUAAUUUUAUUAAAUAUUUUUUUUUACAAUUUUUUUUAUUGGUUUUCUUAAAUUAUUUUGAUAGAUUAUCUCAAAUUCUUUUCAUAUAAAUUUUAUAAAAUAAAUUAUUGUAUAAAUUUACUUUACGCAUAAUUAUUUUUAUAUAAUUUUUUAUUUAAUAAAUAAUUAGACUUAUAAAACUAUAUAAAAAUAUUAAAAAAUAUAUAAUUUAUUAUAAAAAUAAUUUUAUAUCCGCAGCAUCGCGCGGGUAAUUCACUAGUAAGCAUAAUAAUAAGGUUUUAAAAAAGCAUGGAAUCAAAUAAUGUGUUUUGUAUUGUCUUAUAUUCAUUUUUUGGAUUUUGUGAUCUUAUUAACAGUAACAUAGAAUGAUUGGGUACGAUUUAGUUAAAAAAAAAUAAAAAAAUAAAAAGAAAUAAUUAAUCUUGUAUAAAUAGUGGUUAUUACUAAUUGAGUUUAUUUUAUAUGUAUCUUCUCCAAUUUAUGCAAUUAAUGCAACUAUUUGAUCAUGAGUAGUGGUGAGUUUUUGGUUUGAUUAUUGAAGUUAAAAUCAUGUAGUAGUAAUUAAACCAAAAUAAGAUAACCUAAAAUAUAUAUUCAUGUAGCUCUAAUUUUCGUUGCUCUUAUAGUAAUAUCUUAAAUCGAAAGACGGAGAUUAAGAUACUCUAAUGUUUGGUUUAUAAUAAAAUUUUCGAUCACAGUGUAAUUACUGCAUUAUUUAUUAAAAAAAGGCUAAAUUAUAUAAAAUUUUUCUGUCAAAAUUUGAUUUUUCACUUUCUCUCCUUGUCAUUAAAAAACCUACACUUUGCUCCCUUAUAAAAUAAAAAAUAUUCACUUUACCCCCUAUCGUUAGUAAUCCCUUUAGAGUUUCGUUUAUAAAAUAUGAUUAUAUAUUUUUUAUGCCAAAAAUAUCUUCAACCUUUUCUCCUGUAAACAUAGUGAGGGACGAAAUGGUGAGGAGCAAAAUAGUUAUUUUGUCAUCGCAGUUCACACCGUACUCCCUGUGAAUAUUUUUUAUUUUACAAAAGGGUAAAAUGUAGGUUUUUAAAUGACAUGAAAAAAGUGAAAAAUCCGAUUUUGAUAUGUAGAUUUUCUGUAAUUUAGCUAAAAAAAAAAAUAUUGUUGUAGCUAAAGUUAUAGACCAAUUAUCUUGGAAAUUUGGUAUGAACAGUAACAAGUACAAUCACUUUAAUUUCAACAUGGUACACUUUUUCCACAUCCAUGAGAUUUAUAGCCACAUUGUGGGCUUGAACAGAUCUCACAUGGACAGUGUCAGUGUUGUGUUGAAAAACCCUAGAAAUUGAUUUCAAAACUACAAAAAAAGAAAAAAAAGAAAAAAAGAGGAGGAGCAGAACAAGAUGGGGGAGCAUUGAAUGAUCACUUGUCGGUGUUGUGGUUUCUUCUUUUAGAGAAAGAGGAAGCAGCUUUUAAUAAAUUGGUGCAUAUAUCUCUUUGUCCAAAUAUAUUUUUUAUUUAUUUUUUUUCUUGUUUUAGUAGCAGUUAUCUUCUUGGGCAUAUAAAGUCUAGUAAAUCUGCACCCUUUAUUUUUUGGUAUAAGUAUGUCACUUUUCUCUUCAGCUUUCAACAGCAGCCAUCUAUAGUAUAGCAUUUACUCUGAUGAUUCUAUAGCACUGAGAAUUGUUGUCUUAAAGAAGUCAGCAUUAUAUUAUAUAGCGGGAGAUCAGAUUGGAUCAAGUCAUAUUCGAAACGACGGGAGGUCAUGAGUUGGGCCUAAUUAUCUUCUCAGAGUGGCAAGAGUCUGAUCAGACCGAGUCACAAUCAAGACUCGUAGAUGCUGUGUUUGCACGUUUUAAGUGAAUUUGUUGUAUAUUUCUAGCAUUCGAGUUUUUGGAAUUAAUAAUUAGCGCCAACGAUCUGACAAGAAUGAUUUGAUACAUAUAUAUUGUUGUCUGACUAUAUUUGCAUGAGCGUUUACAAGUCUAAUACUUUCUGUUCUAGCAAGAAAUAUUUGGUGCAUAUAUCCCUUUGUCUGGCUAUAUCUGUUUUAUCUCCUGCUACUUACAAGGAUUUCUAGUAGAGUAUUCACCAAUUAGAUGUUUCUGCUUGAGACCCACUCCACAAUUGAAUGAAAGCUUUAGUUUGAUACUUCUAACUUUAAUACUACACUGAAGAGUAUCUGUUAAAAAUAUUUUACGAUAAUGCUUCUUCUAAAAGUACUGCUCAAUCAGCACUUCAUCCACCAACACUAUGUAGUGAGAGGAAGAACAAUAUAUUUGGAGAGAGAGAGAGAGAGAGAGAGAGAGUGUUGGUUCAAUUAUUAUUGUGGUUGGGUUAGGGACCAAGGGUUUGCAUGAAUUGUAUGUGAUCAUCUAAACAUUUGGACCCACCUUUUCUCAUUAAAGAGCAACUGGGGCUCACAUGCAAGCAUUUACAGUAACAGUGUUACUUGCAUGAGUGCCCCUAUGAAUAAUAUUCAUAUAUGACUACACCUAUUGUGAGAGGCUCUUGUGUAUGCAUGUUUAAUAUAAAUAUAAAUAUGUUAAUAUCAUCACUCUUUUACAGGACAAUAGUUAAGCUUAAGCUAUUGAGAACAAUAUUUUUAAUAUUUAUAUUCAAAAUUAGCUGAAAAUUAAAUGCUCAAUCUUACUCUUUCAUCAUUUUAUGAAUAGAAAGAUAGUAGUAUAUUGCGAUAUAUAAAAAAAAAUAAAAUAAGUGAUUAAUGGCUGAAAUUGAGCUAAUAAUUUUUAAUUUAUAAGUAUGUUCCUCACCUAACAAAGUUUUUUUUAUCUGUGGGGCUUAACUUUGUUCCAUCCAGUGAGUUAAUAACAAUGCCUAAUUCAAAUAGCAAUAAACUAUUAACAAUGAUGUUGUAUGAGAUACCAAAGUGUGAAAAUAUGGGUGCAGUAACUGCUUAUCACUAGCCAACUUUGGCCUGUUGCAAUCACCUAAUUAAAGGAUAGAAAUAAAUUAUAAAACAAGAAUAACAUAAAAAAGUGUAUGUUACCACAUUUAGUGGAGAGAUUUGAGGGUCCUUGAGCUCAACAACAAUAUGGACAUUUUGCUUCUUCCCACUAUUAUAUAUGCUUCCUAGUGUCUUAAUAGCUUUGAAAUGCCUAGAGAUGCUAAAACCAUGUUUGUGAUUUACUAAGUAAGCCUCUUCCCUCCAUUCAUGGUUUCUGUGUCCAUUGGCUACCCCAAGUUUUUUUUUUUUUUUUUUNAUAUUUUUACCAUAUAUUAAAAAUUUUGUAUUCUUAUAAAUCAUAUUCAUGUUUGUGCUCGUCUAGAUCUGAAUAUUUUUUAGGGGUAAUUGCUUAUACACCUCUAAAAAAUUUCCCACUUUCUGAUUUACCCCUCUUAAAAGGCUAAUAUUGAAAAUACUUUUUUUACGUUCCAACCUAUUUUAACUAUGCCCCUAGAAUUAAAAUCUGUUAAUAAACUCUGUUAUUUGUAUAAAUUACUAUUUUGCCCUUUCAAAUAUACACUUAUACCAUCACCAGCUUUUCUUAUUUGUCCUUCAGUCAGGGACACAAAAAGUAUUUAGACUGUUGAUUUUUUUCAAAUAUACCCCUCUACCGUUACCAAUAUUUCUUAUUUGCUCUUAAGUUAAGGGCAAAAUUAAUAUUUUAAUUUUUUUUUAACUGUGGCAAAAUUAGAUUUACACUUUAAUCAAUUCAAUCCUUUAAAUCAUACUAUUUAACCAACCACCCACUCAACCUUAGAGAAACCACUACUAAACCUUAGGGGACCGCUAUAAUCCUAACUCUACAAUUUAUCAUCCAAAGAUUAAAAUCUCGAUAGUAAAAGAACACAAAUAUUAUUAAUCGUAUUCCAGCCCAAUUCAUUAUAAUCUUAUUUAACAAUUAAGUCCCUAAAAUUUUUCUAGCAUCAUGACCCAACUUGUUAUGUCAAUUUUCUUCUCAAAUAGGGGGAAAAGAAAAGGCUACAUGGGUGUCUAAGAACUAGUACUCUAGUUAUUAAUAAUAUUGAGCUUAACCAUUUUGAGUGGAUAACAAAUUGCUAAUACUAAUAGGCAAGAAAAUAUAUAAUCUCUCUCUCUCUCUAAAAAAAUUAGGUUAAAAAAAAAACUCCCAAAUUCGUCCUGAUACACUGAGAAACAGGAGCGGAAGGCAGAGAAGCCCGUAGCGGGUUUUUUAGUGCAAUAGUCUUUUCUUAAAAUUUUAUUCUAAAAAUAGACCUGUUAAAUUUUUAUUUAUAAAUAUAAUCCUAUAAAAGCGGUGAAUGAUUCACCGCUUUUAAAAACGGUGAACCAUUCACCGCUUUCUUUUUUUUUCUCACUUCUUUUUAUAUUUCUACAAUGGUAAAAGCGGUGAAUGGUUUACCGCUUUUACCCUUUUUCUACUCCUAAUGACAAGUUAUGAAUGCGGUGAAUCAUUCACGGCAUUUAGAGAUCUAUUUUUAUAAUUAUUUUUUUAACAAAAUUAUUUUUACAAUUAUAAAAAUUGAUAGGUUUAUUUAUAAAAAAAAUUCCUUUCUUUUAUCCAUCCCGCGAUCUGUCAAAAAUCUGUUCCCCGUAUCUGCCAUCCUCAUCAAUUGGUUGUUUUUCACCAAUUACAUUUCCCAUGCAUGCAUGCAUGCAUGCAUUGUUUUGUUAAAUGUAAUUAAAUUAAGAUGAUACAAAUGACCAACCAACUAUUGUCAAUUGCAAUCAACUGCACUAUCAACAAACUGAAAAUGGCAAGGUAAUAGUAACUUGAGGUAUAAAUUUUGUGUGUGUGUGUGUGUGUGUGUGUGUAUUUGAUUGCAACUAUUUUGGCCACUUAGGUAGUUAAAAGAAGCCAUAAAUGAUAGUGACAUAGGAACUGCAUCAAAGUCCUAUUCCUCUGCUCCCUUGUACCUUUUACUCUGGGAAAAAAAAAAAAAAAAAAAACAUGAAACACACCCUUUUUCUUUAUUUUUAUUUUCAAAUAAAAAAAUUUUAGAUUCUUUUCUUAAGAAUCAAACCGACAAAAAAAAAAUACUAUUGACGCCAGAAAACUAUUCCCAUCUAUUUGUAGCAGAAUUAAAAGCACUAAAUUUGAGCUUGCGACUUUUGAGGCUACGAAUCUCAAUUUUCACCAUCUCUUUCAACUUAAAAGUUUCAAAAUUUUCUCUGUUAAAAACAAAAGCAUAAGCUGAAACAAACAUGCCAGAAUUAGAAGCACCAUAGUUGAACUUUUUCGUUUUCGAGGCUACAAAUCUCGAAUUUAUCUAUUUGCCAAACAUUGUAGAAAAGGUUGCUGCUGUAAGUAAAAGCAGAAGCUGGAACAAACAUGAUAAUGCCCUAAUUGGUUCCUAUCCAUUUCUCAUUAUGCUCGUGGGAACAUGGAAUGAUCCCUAAACUAAAGCCUACAUAUAUAGCUAACAAAGGAAAAAAAAAAUUUAAAUAAAAAGUACCUUUAUAGGAUGCUACUUCAAAGCUUUGGCCUUUCUCUGUAGCCUCAUUGACUUCAUUUGAGAGGCAUUCUAAAGAGGAGAACAACAAGUUGGGGCUUUUGAAAAGGAAGAAGAGCUGUAAGUAGAAGCACUUGAGAGGUUGCUGUAAGACUCAAAAGAGAAUGCCAAGUAUGUGUUUGAUUACCGCACCCAGCGGAGGAUUUGGAGGCUUACCCACAAAUCAUGAUUCCUAUGUCCUAAAUCUUAAUGAAGUAAUGCAAUACCCCCUGCCGUUUACACACAUCGAACAAAAUGUAUGAAGGGGAUUUGUACGAUUUACCUGACACGUGGGCCCCACACGCCGUCCAAAUCGACGAAUCUGGUGUCGCGUGCUGUUUACUUGCAUGUAAAGAGAAGUGAACAGAGUAAUUUCGAACCAUAAUAGCAGCCAAACAUGUUUGUGCUUUAUAACUCGCUCGACUAGUAAACCUUUUCACUCCAUUCAUGCUAUCGACCUAUAGCAAAAAUUUGAGUUUGCAAAAGCGAAAAAAAAUGUGAAGUAAUAUCAAACGGUCAUAAGGAACUACGCGAAAAAGAAGUUAUUUUGACAAGAUAAAUAGGUUGCAAAUCCACUGCCGCAGUGAACACAAGUUUGCGGAUUGCGUAAAAGAAAACACUUUAAAUUUCGGGAAAUCAGAUAAGAAAUCUAAGAUCAGACUUGCAGUGAUUUGAGAACUUCUACCAAUAUCAUUGCUGAUAGUUAAACUUCACUUAAUAUUUCUUCCAUUAGUGUUCAUCCUUCCAAAACCAAGAACAUUUAAGCAGCGAUGACAUAUCACUUCGAUACACUUCUCUCUUUUCUCUUGCAUGUUAGAUCUUUGUAAAGAGAGGAAAGGCAAUUAAAAGAGAGAGAUCCUAUGUUAGAUAUUUAAUAUUAACAGCAAUUAAUUCACAAAAAAUGCAACCAACAGUUAGAUUACUUCUAUACAUAUAAAAUGCCAACAUUACUUAUAUUCUGGAACAAAUAUACUGAAAAGAGAAACAGUAAUUACCUGAAAUUUUGUCCGGAACCACAUGAAGAGAUCCAAUACGCCAAGAACAAUCUUUCCAUCGAAACAAGAAUCAAAUGAGAUGUUUCAAGGCCUCUGACCACCCAAUUUUCUAUUUGCGCCACCUUGUUGAUUAGAGCCAAUUGUCCUCUUAUAGAAGGAGAGCUUUCAUUUACAAGUAUAGAAUGGAAAUGACUCAUCCAACAGAAAACAACUGGAUGAGCAGUUCUUGUUAUUUGCUAUCGCUAUUAAUCCUAGGAGCAUUCAUUGCGCGCUUCUUUUUAUUCUUCCAAAACUCAUCUUUCUUACCCUUCUUCGGUUUUAUACCAAACUUGCUGUUGACUAUUCCGAGAAUAGCACUCCUAUCCCUUCUAUUCUUUGUUUUUGCUUUCACAUCUAAAAUAGCCCGCAAUUUCCCGUAUGCUCCGGCGUCAGGUACCUGACCACUUCUAACCAUUUGCUUAUGAUAAAAAAACGCUUUAGCAAAAUCGCGCACGCGGACAAAUGCAUAUAUCAUUGUAGAAUAAGUAACCGAAUCAGGCCUCAAAUUAAGAGUCGCCAUCUCCUUCAACAACUGUGGCAAUUUGUAAUGCUGUCCUCCUCGAGCAUAUGCGUUCAUCAAUAUAUUGUAAGUCAUUACAGUGGGCGCCAAACCAAUUUUCCCAAAUUCAAACAUAACAUCUCUUGCUUGGAUGUAAAGCCCGUGUUUCGCAAACCCGUCUAAAAUAAUGUUAUACGUGACUCUUGUACCUUCUACUUUAUUAGCAAUCAUCGAUUUCCAAAUCUCCUUUAGUUUGUCGGUGUCACCCGCUCGCCUAAAUGCAUCAAGGAGAGCAGUGUAAGUCUCUAUAGAAGGCUUUAUUCCUUCUCGUUUCAUAUUUUCGUACGACAUAUAAGCUUUUUCGUGCCACCCACCAACUGAAUACGCAUGUAUUAGGGCAGUAUAGGAAUGUGAUGUGGGCUUUAUACCAGCCUUUUUCAUCCUUAAAAAGCAAUCGGCUGCCAUUUCGCUCAUUUUUCUCUGCCGACCAUAAGCACUUAUAAGGCAAGUAUACGACCUGACAUUUGGUUUUAGCCCUAAAUUUUGCAUCUCGGAGAGCAAAGCUUCGACAAUAUCUGGUUGCGUCCUUUUACUGUAUGCAUCCAUUAAAAUAUUGUAAGUUGCGGUUGUUGGAUUUAAGCCCUUCUCUUUCAUCUCUUUGAAAAGGGCUUCUGCUUCUUCAACCUGGUCCGAUUUUACGUAUGCAUCGAUCAGCGUGUUAUAUAUGAUGGCAUUUGAUGCAACUCCUCUCUUUUCCAUUUCAGACUGAAUGAUAAGGGCUUCUUUUUUAAGCCCCUCAUCACAAAAGGACUUAAUAAGAGCACCGACGACCUCUAAGCUCCAUUUGACACCUUUCUUGUUCAUUUUUUCAAAGAACUCCCAUGCAUCUUUCGCACAUUUCCCGCUUUUUCUCAUCGCAGUUAUUAGAAUAGAACAUGUGACAUGGUCCGGCCGGAUAUUAUUUGCUUCCAGAAGCUCGAACACUUUCCAGGCGUCAUCAUAGCUGAAAUGCCGCAGAAAAAUGUUAGAACAGAGAAGAUCUAUGUGGACUACAAACAAAAGAGAGAACCAUCAAAACACCAAUGUCGGAUUGGCUGAAUCCUGAUAAUGAAUAACUCGAUAACUAAACAGAAUGUUUUCUACGUUUAAAAUUUGAUUAAAAACCCGCAAUUUCCACUAUGACUACUUGUGCUUUUCAUAGCACAACAAGAAAAUACUAAAUAAGGCAAUGCUAGCAUGGAUUUACACAUUAUUACAAAUUCACAAAACCUACAAGAUUGGCCAUACUAGCGACAUAUCGGCAUGCCGUGAAGAUAGAAAACGGAUCUCUUUGAUUAUUCAUACCGAAUUGUUGCAUUAAUAUCAGUGCCCAUCAUAUAUUUAGUCCCUAAAUUUGGGCUUAUCCACACUGGGUCCUAAAUGCUUAUCUGAACAGAUUAAUCUAUGAUAUCACCUCUGUUUUUCCCUAUCAAAAUAUCCACCGUCAACAGCAUUUUCUCCAUAUAACUACAAUGAUCACUUUACACAUCAUUUACUAUGCAACCCAGUUUCCAGCAAACAUGGGGCCUGGUCAUGUGCAAUGCACAACAACGGCGACACUGUGAUAAGUUUUCGAGUUGAGUACAAUUAUCAAGUAACCUAUUUAACUUGAAGGUCAUGGACCAAACAUCAAUGAGAUGAUUGAAGAGGAACUCACCUCCCGCAGCACGCGAGGCCGGAGAUGGCGGCAUUGUACACCCUCACAUCCCUGAACUGCCUCCCCCUCGGCAAAUUCUCGAAAAGCACCCUCAACUUCUCCCCCAUUCCGGCGCGGCCCAGCGCCGGGAAUAUGAUCGAACACGUUCUAGGCGUGACCAGCGGCGGCUCCUGCAGCCCCAUCCACUCAAACAAGUACAAGCACUCCCACACCAACCCCUCCUCCCCCAACCUCUCCAUCAGCUCCACACACUCCCCUUCCCCGACCCUCCCCUCGUAGCUCCCCAAGCACUCCCCCAGCGUCGAAUUCUCCGGGAGGCUCCUCGCGAGCCGCAUGAUCUCCCCGACGACCCCGUCGUCGGGAGCAGCAGCCGCCGCCGAAUCCGAUAACUCCGCCGCCGAUUCGAGAACUAGGGUUGCAGCAGCAGCAGCAGCAGCAGCAGCAUCUUCCACCUCGCCGGGAUCGGCGAGGUGCCACGAGCUGCGGCGGUUGCGCUGGAGCGAGGGGCGACCCUCGCGCUUCGGGUCGUCGACGGGGGCGCUGCGGCGGCGGUUGAAGAAGCUGAGAAAUGGGUCUGAUUCCUCUUCCUCUUCCUCCUCCUCUUCUACAUCUAGUUCAGCGAAUUCUCCGACCAAUUCGUCUUCUUCUUCCUCGAUUGGGGGGGGUUUUGGGUGUGGGGGAUCGAGGUGGGGGAGGAAGAUGGGGGAGGGAGGGGUCGAGGAGGAGGAGAUGGGGAUUAGGGUUUUGGGGGGUUUGAGGAGAGAGGAGGAGAGGUUGGGGAGGUGGGGAGAGGGGAAGGGGAAGGAGAAGGGGUUGAGGAGGAGUUUGAGCGCCAUGGGAGAGGAGCAAAAGAGAAAAAGGUCAGGAGAGAGAGGAGAUAAUCUAAAGGUGAAAAAUGCAUGGAGACCCCUAAACUUUUGAAUCUUUGGCAAAUAGAUCCCUGCAGUUUUAAUUUUGGCAACCAGACAUUUUUUUUGGCUAAAUUAUAUAGAACUUUCUUAUAAAUACUUUUUUUUUUACUUUUUCUUUCUAAUUUUUAAAGUACCGUUUGGUUCGGGUAUAAGCAAGAACUAGCUAUUACAGGGAUAGAUACAAGUAUGGAGAUAAGAAAAAUAGCGUUUGGAUGAAAAUUGGAUUGCUCCCAAGGAUAAAAAAAAUAUUAGAAAGUUUUAUAUAAUAAAUGGAGGUGUUGGUGGGGAUAACUGAGAACUACUAUUCUCGAGUAAAAAAUCUACAUUAUAACCCAUCAACAUUUCAAGUUGUUAUAUUUAGCCCCUCUCUGUCAGGGUUUCAUCACUAUUCCGUUCAUUUUUUAUAAUUUGUACAGAAAAUACCUUUCAAAGUGACAAAAAUAUAUUUAAAUAUUAUUUUUAUCGUUAUAGAAGAAGUAAGAGUAAUUUGAUCAUUUUGCUCUCUCCAUUAACAUCAUGCAUCCCUAAAAGUAUUUCAAAAAUUUUAAAAGAGCAAACUAUAGAUUUUUAAAAGUUAGAAAAAUAAAAGUGAAAAAACGAGUAUUUACGAAAGGGUUUCUGUAAUUUUUUUUUUUUUGAGAGAAAAUAUAACAAGCUAGCCAAAAAUGUUUCUAUUUUUUUUGGCCCCUAAAGUUUCAAUUUUGACAACUAGACACCUCGAUGGGUGCGCCAAAAAACGUUAAAGCUUUUUUUUUUUCUAACGAGAAAAUAAUACAAUAGUAUUAUGAUUGAUAACGCAACAAUAAUUACAAUAUUACAUCACUUCUAUAUCAAUGAUAUGUCAGUGUUUAAUCAACUAAAUUAAAUUUAAAAACCUUAUUAUAAUAAUUAAUAAAUUUUGAAUUAAAAAUUUUAUUAAAUUAAAGAUUGAGCAUCAUAGUGUCAUGCCCCUCAUAGUGUAAUUUAGCUUCUUUUAAAAUAGGCUAAAUUAUAAAAAAAAAAUCUUUAUAAAUAACUACUUUAUUUUCCCUCCCUAAUUUUUAAAAACUUAUAUUUUACCCCCUCAACAUUUCAAAUUAUUACAUUUAACCCCCUCCGUCAAAGUUUCAUCACUAUUUCAUUUAUUUCUUAUAAUUUAUACCAAAAUUACUCUUAAAAAUGAUAAAAAUAUAUUAAAAAAUAAUUUUUUUCUUAUAAAAGAAGUAUGGAUAAUUUGGUUAUUUUGCCCAUUCUAUUAACACCGCAUCCCCUAAAAUAUUUUUGAAAUUUUAAAGGAACAAAAUGUAAAUUUUAAAAAGUCAGGAGAAAAAAAAAAUGAAUAUUUACACAAAGAUUUUCUAUAAUUUAGCCUUAGAAUAUGUUGUUCAAUUCAACAUAAGGCCAUGUGCAAAACAACUUCAUAAUAACAUCUGCAAAACACAAGAUCUUCAAGAGCAACAAAUUUACAUAGAGAAGUUUACAUUUGCUUCUCUUGCGGAUUCGAAGCGGCGAAGCGCCAUAAGAGGCCUCCGACGAGAUUGUUCAGCGAAUGCGACGCCAUCGGAACAACGAGGCUCGCGGAAGUUACAGUCGCCACGCCGUAGGCGAACCCGACAAAUGUUGCCCUGGAACAAUCAUCAAAACACAAAUGUAAAACCAAGAAAACAAAUACUCACUACACUAUGCUUUUUGAGUUCAUACAUUGAAGAAACUCUACUUAUAUAGCCUAUUCGAACCUCGAAGUUUUCGACAAAUAUCAGCUCUAAGAGACGCGAAUCUAUUCUCGCGCUUUCUACUUCUUUUGUAAUCUGUGCGUGGUUGUAAUAGUGAUGUGGAUCGGGCUUUUCGGGUGUACGAACGUCGUUGACGCCGCAACCGUAGUGGUAGCAUAUGGCUUGACCGACCCGAGAUAGGUCCGGGUUGAAUCGAACCUACGAAUUUUUAGAAGCAUCUAGGGAUAAGUAUCGUAUCUAAAUCCCGCUGUGCUAACAUCAUAUUGCGUUAGAUGAGUUUCUAAACCUAGGAUUUGUCCCAAUUAAAUUUAACUUCCUAAUCUUUGAUUCACAAAUCCUGCAUCAAAUAGUGUAUAUAAUCGCGUACCAAACGGCGUACGAAAGUUUCCGGCCGCCACCCAAGUGAAGAACUCCGAAGAGAGCACCGAUCCCGAGGGCGCUUAUCCAAUUAAGUCCGAAAAGCGGCAUUAGACCCCCGCGAAAGAGCAAUUCCUGUCAUAGCAGAUGAUGCUAAGAGCUAACAACCAUGUUCUCUAUAAACUGAUGAUAUUUGAAGAGAAUUAUAGCAAUUUAGAUAUCGAAGGAAUUGUUUGUCGAAAGUGACACAGAUGAUGCAAUAAAAGUAACAUUAAGAGCCUGUUUGGCCUAGCUAGAGCUUUCGAAGUGCUGGGUGAGUAGAACUGUUAGAGGAAACACGAACAUCUUAUCUCUAUCAAAAAGUCAACCCUCUAGCUUUUUGCUGCGAGGAUUAGAAGUUUUAAAUUGAAGCUUCUACUUUCAAUGCUCAGAAGCUUGUUUUAGCUUCUUGCUACAAUAAAAGAUCCGAGAGUUUUAUUUAUCAAAUUAUGGUGGUGCUUUUCGGAGUAAAGAAGCUGCUCUAUAGGCCGAGACCAGAGAGGCGCUUAAGAACUGUUUGGAGAAGCAGUAAUAGCUUUCUUUGCUGAACAAAGACAGAGAGAUAUGGACGGAUAAUAUCUUUACCUCACUAAUCCCGGGGAGAAAUGCAACCACGACAUAAUCCAACGGUUGCAAUGAACUAAGAAUCUGAUUUGAAAAAAAAGAAAAAAAGAAGGAACAGGAUCAAUUUAGAAAGGAUUUGAUGAUAUUCCUCACAUAACUAAAAGAAGCACUAUUUUUUCUUAGUUAACUGAAAACAACGAUAAAAUCAGAUUUCACAUUUAUUAACACAAAUCAAACAUAAAUAUAAAAAAAAAAUGUUUAAGAAAAGAUAAGAAAAGAAGCAAAUAACACAUUUUAAGCUAAAUAAGUGUGUCGCAGGUAUCGAGCAUACUUGUUGGUUAGCUGCAUCGCUAGACUCUGAAAAAUCUGGCCAUAUCUUCAGGAGAAUAAAUCGACUAGUUGAGAUCAGUAUAACUAGUCCCACGAUCAGUUCGAUAUGCCACAUUUCAAAACCAACUGCAAAGCGGCCAAUAAACGGUCAAUCGAAGAAAAAAAACAUAUGGUAUAACUGCAAAACAUUGAACAAGGCAUGCAAGCAAUAUACCAAUGGAAAGAAAAAAGAAAAUAAUAUGUGAAAUCAAGAUUACACAAAUACUAUCACGAAAUUUCAAAAACACGGCUUUUCUGAAUUCUGAUCAUAUGGCAUUUGUGGGAGAAGAGAAAUAUUUACUAACGGCCACCUUCACCAAUCAGGCAGUUAACUACUUGAAGUUGGUUAAAAUCGUAUGAAAGUUAAGAAACAAGUGCGAGAAGUGGAGCACAAUAUAUUAACCACAAUCUAAAUGUGAAAAAAAAAAAAAAAAAAAAAAAACGGCGGCAAUCCAUAUUUUUAACUACAACCAAGAUCUACAUUCUAAUGGAGUAAGGGCGAAUUUGUUUCCCAAAACAAAAGCAAACAAAAGGAAGAGCUUUAAUAUCCUCUAAUAUAAAGUGGACGAAUAGUUGCUUAGAUGCUUGUACAUUUGUUAUAUCCUCUAAUAUAAGAUUUCGGCUGUUGGAUGAAGGGAUGUGCGGUUAGAAUGAUAGUGGUCCUCUAGGAUUGAGUGGGUGGUUGAUUGAAUAGUAUGAUCCAACAGGUGGAAAUGGUCAAAAUGAUAAAUCUAACGGUCGAAAACUUAUGAGUACAAAAGAGUCUAUACUCAUAAAAAUAUAGUAGCCUGACUCUCUCUCUAGAGUCUAUACUCAUAAGAAUAUAGUAGCCUAACUCUCUCUCUCUCUCUCUCUCUAUAUAUAUAUAUAUAUAUCUAGAAAAUGUAUCGACUCCACGAACUAUAAUGCAAAUAUGUACCCAGAGUCUCAAGAUAUUCUUUUCCAUAGAGAUCAACAACUAAUUAGAAAAUAUACAAAAAAAAUUAAUGGGCGACACAACUAAAGUAAAGAGUUGAAGCCUCUUUUCUGCGCGAGUCUCGUAGCAACAUUUUUAGUACAAGGCCAUUGGUUCCUCUGUAAAAGCUUCUUUACAGAAGUAACAAUGACGACGAAAACUUACAUGCUAUUUCUGUAGAGUCAAAAUUUGCCCACCCUUUUGCAUAUGCAAGAUGGGAAGCCUACAAAUCGAAACAAUAAGAAUUUCAAAUAUAAGGAAUAAACAUGAUAAUAUAAUAUCAUGGAUACGAAAGAUUUCGCUAGUAGUUUUCAAUUUAGUGGUUGUUGCAAGAAUUUAAGUGGCCAUCGGCAAGGGCCGUAUCUACCGUACUGUAUCGUGCAAACAAAAUAUCGGUACGAUACAAUCCCCAUGCCGAUGGCACACUCUCUAAAAUUAGUAAAUAAUUUUCUCAAUAAAGUUCAAGAGAUUUGAUAAAGAUACAUAAUAAACAAUUAGAAUAUUUUGUUGCUAAAGAAAAUAAAUAUUUUAUACCAUUAUGUGUCGGUAUAUAUGUAUUUUUUGUAUCCGGCACGCAUCGGCACGACCCAGCACACACCGUACUAUGCCAUGCCGACAAGUUUUCGGCAUGAUCCCAUGCCACGGCACUUAAAUUCUUAGGUUGUUAUUUACGUUUGUACGCAAGAUUACCUGAAAAUGUUAUUUUUAUUUUAGGAUAAAAAAAUACCAAAAUAUGUCUUGUAUGACACAUACUACUCCAGUAUUAAUGUUCUGUUUUCCAGCCAAGAGAGAAAAUGUACAAAUUGGCACAAAAAGUAGAAACUUAACCUGCCGAAUUGCUACCCCUGAAGCAACCAAUAAGACGGAUGUGAUAAUACAAGCCUGAAGCACCGCAGCUCUACUUGAGCCUGCAACUUGAACAGCGGCAUCUGCAUUCUCAUUGAGCAGUUCGACACUGGCGGAACGACCACUAUUACCAUCAUUAGAAUCUUUGUCAGUCGACUCCUUAUAGCCAUCUGGGGAAAGUAUUUUACUUGUCAGCGUUCCUUCUUUGGUUGUUUUUCGAUCACCGCUCCUUUUCCUCUCAGAUUUUCGUGAUGCAAAUGCUUUGAGUUGUACCUGAUUCCACUUUAAAAGAAAAUAUUGAAUCAGUCGCAAAUGACAAAGGAUUUUGACACGUCAGAGACAUAAGGCCUGCUGGGCUUCAUCAUUAAAAUAUCCUCUACAGCUUCGCAUUGCAGCAGAAGCAGAAACUUCGUAGUGGUUGCUAUGCUAUCAAGGAAUGAAAGCUCAUUCUAGCUUCUCGCCACAGCAAACGUUCAAAACUCUUUCCCAGACAAACACUUGAUUUCUAGAAGCUUGUGCGUUCUGAAGUAGAGAACUCAUUCUAAAGACUACGCAAAAGAGGCACAAAAGGGUACUGAAUAUUUCAAAACAUGAAGACAAUUAUGGUUCGUUUACGAUGAAUACGUCGAUACAUUGAUUAGCUAGAUCUCAAUAAGAAAAAAUGUAACCUAGCACUUACACUGCAUGGAUAAACGAGAAGACGUUUUCUUGUGGUAAAGGGGCUGCUAUACUUUCUACCUGAUUAAAUACGGUCUGUCAAAUGUAAGGAAGCAGAAUUACAUCACAAUCGACUAAAGAAGAUCUGCAUUAAGCAAUUCAAUGAUGAAAAAAGUGGAUCAAAAACUUAUCAAGCAGGAGAUGGUACAAAUGGUGCAAAUCUACUUGAAUUAUCAAACUAUCAAUCAACUUUUCCCCAUCAGGAUCAUGUUGCUAUCUCCUAUUUAACUAGCUAAUGUUAUUCUGAAGAACAUGCUUCAACUCGACUCUUGAAAACACAGUAACAUAUGCGACUAUUCGAACUUAUUGUUUCAGUUCAAGAGCCGAGAAACUAUGACACUAAGGUGAUGGUUUUUUAUUUGGAAGAAAAGGCUUUAGACUCGAAAUAAAAUUUGAAAUCACUACUCAUCUAGCAUCUAAUCACCCAACUAUUUUCUUUAAGGCAUAUUUGGUUGCAUCUUCUUUUGUUUACUCAGUGGUACGAUACUACGAUGUAAUUUGGUUGGUAGAUAGUACGAAAAGAUAUAUUGCCAAGGCCAUGUUCGGAUGCACAGACAUCUUAUUCGAUAUAUCCCUUUGAUUUACUCAAGAAGCAUGUAGUCUUUUGGAAGAAAAGGAGUGUGAUCAAAUGUCUGGAAUGAAUACCAUAUUCAGUCUUCAAAUCAUUUUUUAAAAUAAGAUAAAUCAUCACGUACUAUUCUACCAAAUCAAACUCCUAACUUUCAACCACAAAUUAAAAAAAAAAAAAUCUUCAUUCCGAGUAAGUGAUCAUUAAAUAUCUUACUCCGACAUCGAAACGGGGCCUCAGGGCCUAUUCGGUUGUAUGAAUAUCUUGUUCAGCAAAUCUCUUUUAUUUAUUCGAUCAUAAUUUGGUUGGUAAAGAGUGCGAAAAGACGCCUAUAACUCAAUAGUAUACAUAGUCUCUAAAAUCACCUUGUAUUCGCGCAAUAGCACAUUGCCAUCCGAAACUCAAAAAGGCCAAAAUAAACUACGUCGACUCUCUAAUUGAUUACACCCACCGUCCCUAGAGCAAGUGACAAAGAGCUUGGUGGUUGGUAUCCGAGACCCAAGUUCGAAUCCUAGUUGAUUCACAUUUCCAGCUAAGUUUAUUUCUAAAUUAAAUAAACGAAGCAAGUAGCGUGCUACCUAUCUCUCUCUCUCUCAAAAAAAAAAAAAAAAAAAAAAAAAAAAAAAAAAAAAAAAAAAAAAAGACUCUCUAAUUGAUUACUGUGACUGUUCCUAACGCAAGUGACAGAGGGCUUGANAAAAAAAAAAAGACUCUCUAAUUGAUUACUGUGACUGUUCCUAACGCAAGUGACAGAGGGCUUGAUGAUUGGUACCUAAGAUCCCAAGUUCGAAGCCUAGUUGCUUCGCAUUUUCAGUUAAGUUUAUUUCUAAAAAAAUAAACUAAGCAUGUAGGAUGCGAACUUUCCCUCUCAAAAUUUUUUUUAAAAAAAAGAAUUACUUUCUAAUUAUUUCAAAUUCCUCUACGUUUGUUAACAAUCUUAAAUCGCAUAAGAUUCAAAUAGCUAAGUAAAGUGAUUAGCUAAAUCAAAGCAAAAUAUUAACCAUGAACUAAAGAAUCAACACAACACAACUUCAUAGGCUUUUUUUUUUAUUAUUACUUUUUUAGUUUACUCCCAGGAAACAAUUGAGUGUUUCAUCCAACCAAAAAUGCAAUUUUUAACCUAUGAAAAAUAUUAGAAAAAUACUAAAAAACGAACAUGAGACAAUUAAAGCCCCAAAAUUAAGUUCGAAUCUCUAAAUCCAUAAAAAGAUAAUGAUAAUAAAAGGCAAAAAGAAAAAAAAAAAAAUUUAAAGGGUGUGAAUCAAAUACCUAACCUUGUGAUGAGGAGAAGAGCGAGUGAUUAGGUGGGAAAUUACUCCCGAAUCUCAUCAACGUGCUCGUUGUAUUAAACAUUUUCGAAAAUAACAAAAAAGAAAAGUAAAAAAAAUAGUGGCGACGAGGAAAUUAGGGAGCUAGAAGGACCAAUUUGUAAAAUUAUGAUUUUUUUUAAAAAAAAGAAAAAGAAAAAAAGAAUUUGGCGUGUGCGAUGGGUCGAUGUGUGAGACUAAAAAUGAGCGGCUAUGAAUGAGCGUUCUUUAGACGGGAUAAAUGCAUAUCCACCCCCUAAACUUUAGAUAUUUGUAACAAAACUUUUAAUUUUGCUAAUAAACAGAACCAUCGAUCAUACCCAGCGUAGUUAGCUAAGAAAGCUAAGAAAUUAAUAGUUAGUAUCUGAGAUACCAACACUACAACAAAAUUCGGUUAUAGGGACACAUAUUUGAAAUACUUUUGAGUAAGUAUCCCAUUUAUGCUAAAACUUAAAAAUACAUCUAUUAAUGCCUAAAUAUAAAGCCCAAUCCAACCAAAAAUAAAAGAUUACUUUACUCAACCCACCACACUCAGUCCAUUUGGCCCGAUUAUAAAUAGAAAAAAAAAAAAAUCAAUUACCAUCUUUUCUUCUCUCUUCACUCAAUCCACUGAAAUUUUAGACGAAGAGCCUUUACUGUCGUCCUCCUCCGCCGCCGCAGCCAACAAGAUAGAGUUUCGGCAGUUGCUAAAUGCUUAAAUAAGUGUUGGUAAAUUAGCAGCACUUUUUUAGGUUAUAGCGACACUCUUUAACUGUCACUAUAUACCUAGCGACCCCACAUAUAGCAACACUUUUUAAAAGUGCCGGUAAUUUUAGCUAGCAGCACUUUUUUGACAUGUACCUAUAUUUAAAAGUGUCGCUAUAGACCGUUUUUGUUGUAGUGGAAGUUCUCAAUCUAAUAGCUUCACAUUUCUAGCUUGAGCAAUUUUUACUUAUGAUCACUCAAAAUUUAAAAAUACAAAUGAGAAAUCUAGGCCUCGUUUCGUAUCGUUGCUAUUUUUUUAACAUUUUAAGUAAUAAUUCCAUAUAUAUAUAUUUUUUUCCUGAUGAUCACAAAAAACUUAAAAAUACAUAAUAAGAAACCUAUGCCUUGUUUGAUUUCGUUGCCAUUUUUUAAAAACUUUUUUAAGCACCAGUUCUCCAAAAUUUGACGUACCGGAAGAAAGAUCGUGUUGAUAGUAUUUUUACUGGUGAUCAUGCAAAACUUAAAAACACAAAUACGAAAUCUUGGCCUCUUUGCCUCUUUUGAUACCGUUGCCAUUUUUAACUCUUAAAAAAAAGAAAAGAAAAAAAGACAGAUAGCAUAUUAUCCGCUUCGUUUAUUUCAUUUUUAGAAAUAAAUUUAGGUAGAAAUGUGAAUCAACUAAGAUUUGAACUUGAAAUCUAGAAUAUCAACCACCAAGCUCUUUGCUAUUUUUAACUCUUUUAAACACUAUUUCUAUAUACUUUUUAACGUCUUGAAGGAAGGAUUGUGUUCGUAGUAGGACUUUUACUGAUGUUAAAAAUACAAAAAAAGAAAACCUAUGCCUAGGUAGGUAUCAUUGCCGCAUUUUAGUUUUUUUAAGCACUAAUUCUGUAUAACUUGACAUAUUGUGUUGGCAUUUGGUUAAAUCGAAUCGGGUACGCCCAUAAUCAGGCUCGAUCCGAUGGUUAUUAUGUUAUCUAAUUGGAUGAGGAUUAAUCUCACUUUUAAAUUGAAAAGCUAAUUAGAGAUAAAUUCGAAUCAUAUUAGUAUAACAAUUAAUAAUCGAUUUGGCCUUAUCUCUUACGCUCUUAGGAUUUUGGAAUUCCAUAUAAAUAUGCGGGCAAUCCCACAUAAAACGAUGAACGAAAAAUAAAAAGAAUAAGAAAAUAAAAAGAGAGAAAUCAUAUCCUCCAUUAACCUAUUAUUCUAAAGGGACUUGAACGGUGGAUUUGCGAUCGUGCUCGUUUGUAGUUCAAUCCACUGCAAGUUCGGGACGUAAGAAGAUUUUCAAGGACGAUCCAAGGACACGUGAAUCAACCUCUACGAUCCGGGCUUGUCGCGUAGUAGCGCGAAUCGCUUCCGCAAAAAGAUACGAACCAAUACUUCCGCUGCGUUCGACAUAUUGGAAGAAAAAUAUCAUGUUGGUAGCACUAAUUUUGUAUAACUUGACACAUUGGAAGAAAGAUCAUGUUGGCAGCGUACCCGUAUCCUAGUCAGUAAAUUCGUGACUUAUUCAUGAAUUAUUGAAAAUUCGAAUUAAACGGUCCGUUUUAUGAAUUUAAAAAAAAAAUUAUUCACAAAUUUUUGGGCCAGUCGAAUUAUUCGCGAAUAAUUCGCAAAUUAUUGCCGAAUUAUUAAAAAUAUGAAGAAAAAACUUAUAAUUUUUAUUUUUAAAUAUAAAUUAUCUUAUAUUUUAUAUUUUAUACCAAUCCGUUUUUUAAGCCGAAUUUUUUAACAAAUUUAAAAAUUAAAAAAUAAAUUUUAUACGUAUUAUAUCCGUACCGAAUUUUUACCAAAUCCGAAUUAACUAACUAUGAUCCGUCGUCACCUUUUUACCUUUUUAAGCACUAAUCUAUUAAACUAUAUGAAUCCUCAAUAACUUUUGCCACGUGUCAAAUUUUUCUUCAUCCACACCUGAUCCUUCUCUUCCCUGAACCAAACCAUGUCUCUUAUUAAUUUUUGAACCGAACCGCCUCUCUAUUCUCUUUUCUGAACCAAGCCUCUUAAGUUCUGAACCAAUCCGCCUCUCAAUCCUUUCCCUUUUUUUCGUAUAGCAAGUAAUGUCUCCCCUUCUUCUCCGCGUUGUGCAUCGUUCCACCUCCCUCUUCCGACCUAAACACCAAGAGCCCCAAAUCCCUAGGGUUUUCGCUCCGGGAUAGAUACAAAUCACUUGCUCCAAUCUCUGAUUCCGGCCCCUAGAUUUUGUGAUGGAUGGGGUCUCUAUCCCUCGGGGUCGCUCUGUGGAAGGGAAAACACCAACCUAUGGAGAGAGAGAAACAGAGAGAGAUGAAUUCGUGAGCUGAUAAAGGAGACAACCCAACCUGGUUUCAAUGUCCUCCGCAAGCGCCAUUACUACAAAUUGCUAAAAUGUGGUAAUGGAAAACAUAUUAAUUAAUGGGUUCUAGAUGAUUAUUUUUGACUAGGUUAUUUGAAACAUAAAGUACGUCCCUUUAGGUUUCAUUGGUUUCAUAUUUGCCGAUCAAUGUUGAAUUUUUCUAGAGAUUUCAUAAAAUAGAAAAGACUUUAAAAUUUACUAUAAUACUCGCAAUGAAUGUUGGUUCAAUGGAGUGUGCUAACACAUAGAAAAACAACAACAUGAGAAAUCAAUAAAAAGCAGAGACUGCAAGCCAUAGAAGAGGGUACAAUUUGUAAGCAUCAUCUUUAUUCUUUGCACCUCAUUCUCUUGAGCAGGAUGGCAAUAUCUAUCAUCAAUUACUUGAAAUAUGCUUCUAAAAUUCUUUAAAGAUUUCAUGUUGGAGUGUGAUGUGCAGUUUCCUGUAUUUGCAUGUGUACAAGAUUUCAUGUUGGAGUGUGAUGUGCAGUUUCCUUUAUUUCAUGUUGGAGUGUGAUGUGCUUUUGUUUGUUUUGAUACUGCCUCAGCUGGUUCAGUAAGUAUAAGCAAAAUACAUGUGGCUACAUAUGAAACUAAUCAAAUUAUACUUCGAGAUUAUUGGGUAAAAAGUAUUUCUCUCCUGUUUGUUUUGGUGAACCAAGUUAUAUCUCUUUUUAAGGAUUGUGCCUUUUUUUCCAUUCUUUGUCUAGAUAAGUUUUCAACUAAGUUUUUUCCUUUAUGACGGGUCUCAUUGGAGCUUCUGUAUUCUGUUGUAGGUGAAAAUUUUAUAUGAUUCCAAACUAAUUUGUCAAAAAUAGUUUAAUAUUUCGUGAAUAAGUUCUUCCCAUCUGGGUAUCCGCACAGGUUUGGUAGCAUAAACAGAUCUGUAUUUGCUGCUUUUUAGUGAAUGUAGGAGUAUUAUUUCUUAUUGAAAACCAUAAUCUAUUAUGCAAUGUGAAUGAGGUGUACCUGACCUAUACCCAAAUCCAAGCACUCCAACAUUUAUCCAGUGCUGCAUUGUCUGUGCUGUCAACAUAAUUAAUUUGGAUUUGGAUUCUUCAGCGUCCAAUCCUACGGCAUGGGAAAUGAGUCCAGUGGUGAGCCCAUGAUCUCAGGCGACCUCAAGAUCAAUAUCAAGGGGAAGCACCUGAUCUUGGUAAAUGCCUUGCGUUUUACAAAUUUUUGACUUUUGUUUAGUGUUUAAUUCUAACUUGAUGUGAAUAUAUCAAUAAUAAAUAGGAUAGUGGACAAAAACUGAUACUUAAAAAUUUUAUUUUUUUCACUGAAAAAUCUAAUUUUUGCUUAUAUGUAAGUUGAUUGAGUUGCUUUAUAUCUUCUUUAUUUAGAAAUUUGUGUAAUGUUAGGAUGUACUACUCUUUCUUUUUUGCGGAAAACUGAUGAGAUAAUCUUUAGAAUUUUUUAUCAUUAUCUAUUUUUGAGUCAUGACGAAAAAAAAAAUUUUGCACAAUAAUAUCUGCCAGCUGAAUCGCGCGGGUUAACUACACCAGUAUACAUUAUUCCUCAUAGCUUUGCCACAUGGCAAUUCCACCUUCGUUCUUACCUUUUCCCCUUUUUUCACUCCAUGGCGCUUCGUCUUCCCAUCUCCUAUCUCCGCUUAAUGUUUCGUCUUCUCACUUAUUCAUUUUCUAAUUAAUGCAUUCAUAUGCUAAUUGUCAUAUGAACAAAUCACUUUCAUAAAAAAUAAAAAAAAUGAGUAAAAUAAAAUCUAUUCAUAUUCUUUUGUUUUUUCAUACGAUUUAUAUUUAUUGAUAUCUCAUUGCAACUAAAAAAUUUUUAAAAUUGUUAUUUUAUCAAUCUUUUAUAUUUUUUAUAGUAUUAGCCCGCCGCAAUGCACUGGUAACUUCACUAGUGUAUCUUUAAUUCUCAACUUUGAAAAUGAUACCAUUAAGUACUGAAUUUAAUUCUUCAAAAAAGACUUAUAACAAGCUAAGAAAGAAAAGCGCACACCAAAAAAAAAUAAAAAAAUAAUAAAAAAAAAAUUUCUCACAUCAGGAAGAAGUAGAUGCAUACAUACAUACAUGGCUAACACAUAUAUACAUGGAUAAUACAUUUUAAAUAACAAUAUGCUAAGUACGCCAACAUAUUUUCACACGUACAUUUAUAUGUUCACAUAGUGGUAGUAGCAGUAGGAAACACUGGAGACGCAGAACAACAACCUAUAGCUAAGCACAUGCGACUCCGCGACAACCAUGGGCUAACGUUUUACAUGUCCAGUAACAAGAAGGGCAGCACCUGCAGCUGCAUCCCCUACUGCGGCAAUCGCGGGACGCCACAGUGGGCGGAUCACAUUCCUGCCACUGCACUCACCGUAUUCCACGCCACUGCCGUCGUUGUUGCUGCUGCUCACGCCUAUCCCGUCGCCACCGUGCUUGUCUCGCCUCUCCAUAUUGAGAUACUUUCAUAUACGAGCACCAUGAGAGAGAGCCAUGAGAGUGAGAUGAUCAUGAUGUUAAUAAUGAGGAUGGGUAAAAGAUGAUCAUGAGAAGCAGCUUACUGAUUGGAGUGUCCUCCCCUUUUCAAGAAGCUUCUCCCCCUGCAAAUCUGCAAUAUAGCAAGUCUUUUCUUUUUUUUUUUUGAGAGAGAUAGGUAGCAUGUUAUCCGCUUCGUUUAUUUCAUUUAGAAAUAAACUUAGUUGGAAAUAUGAAUCUACUAGGAUUCGAACUUGGGACCUCGGGUACCAACUAUCAAACCCUUGGCCACUUGCGCUAGGGACGGUCGGUGCAAUAUAGCAAGUUAAGAUAGACAAACCGAAAUGAUUGUGCGCGUAAACUUAUUUUAAAAUGGUAGCAUGCAUGGUUAUCUUGCAUGUAAGUGGUUCUACGACUCUCUCGGGUUCGUUCCCUCAGCAAUUUUGAAGAUUUAAUUGAUCUCUAUGCUCUUAUCAUGCUGGUUCAAAUGCGUCGUUUAAGUAGAACUUUUUAGGAAGCACUAGCAGCCUUUUUUCACAUUUUUGUUAUCAUCCACUCAGUCUAUCCUACUGCAGCAAGAUAUUCAGGGGAACUUAGUUUGUGUUAGCUUCUCGUUACAGCAAAAGCAUAAGAACUUUGUUUGCCAAACACACGCUAUCUGUCUUCGGAGUAAAGAAGUUCAAAAUCCUAAGCCCUAACUUGCACAAAGUGAUGAAUAGUAUUAAAUGGUGGUUUAAGGAAUCAUGACCUCUUAGUCCUUGGUGAAGGUUGUUGAGAAUUUAUCAUGAGAAAUUAGUGGGAAUGCUAAAAACUGUUAGAAGAGGAUCAUUAGAUGCUGAUGGUAAUCAAACAAAGAAAAGAGAUUUGUUAGUGUGCAGUUAGAGCUGUCACACCCGAAUUGUUCUAUAACUUGUGGAGCGGUUUCUCUGCAAUGUGCGACGUAUAACUAGGGCACUUAUCUUGUCAACUUGGACUUGAGCAUCUUGGACCACAAUAUCGAAAGACAGCUUCUGCAAAUAGCUACAAACAAUUAAUAACGGGCUAGUUGUGCUUUACGAAGUGAUUUAACAACCAAGAUCUAUAUCUUCCUAAGUAGAUUAGUGCUUAUCUAGUCUAGUACAAAAUUAUGGACAUGGAUGCUAUGGAUAAAGAAGAUUCUUGACCUAAAAUUUCCCUUUGCAUCACCCCUAUCAAAGAUCAUAUUCUAGUUGUGAAAUGCUAUGCACGGUAGAGGAUAAGAAGAUUCCCAACCUAAAAAAUAGAAGUGUUUUUCUUUAAUUUUCCCCUCUGCAUUCCCCGUAUCUAAGAUCAUAUUCUAGAAGGUGUGAACUGCUAUGCACUAUACAUAAGUGCAUCAGAAAAUCAAAGUUAUCUAAGUUGAUCAAUUCAAGAGUUUUCACAUACCUUUUCCUGAAGCUCAGCAAUCAUAUCCAUCAUCACCUAAGUCUGUAUGCAUGCACAGCACAAGAUUAUAAAGUAAAAUCUGUAAAGAUGCUUUACCAUCUUCGCAAUUUGGCAUAAUAAAUUUGAACACAAUUUGGCAUAAAGAUGCUUAACUCCUCUUUUUUUUUCGUUAGAAGCCGAGAUGCUUCACCCUGUUGCUAAAUUCAAUUUCUUACUUAAUGAAGCGGUAGCAUACUACCUUUCUCUCAAAAAAAAAAAAAAAAAAAAAGAACCGUGGGUGCCAUUUUAAAGAUCUAUACUUCUUUCGGUAAGAAGUUUCUCAUCCAAAUCAUGAAAUUUUCCCGCUAAACGGGGUAACGUUUGCUAACCUUCUGGGUCGUUGUUUGUGUUAAUGCACCAUCCAGUUCACUUUCAACUUUGGUUGAGCUCAUCAAAGCUCAGCUGUGUGAUGUUUAAGCUAUAGUUCUGCUCUUAGUGUUGAAGAGCAAUUCAUCAAGCACUUCUGUAGUGUUGAAGAGCAAUUCAUCAAGGCACUUCUGUAGUUUCCCCAUUCUUUGAAUUGAAUUUGUCACCUCUUCUUCCUUGUUUUGAGCAAAUCUCAGGAUUAGAUGUGCACAUUAAUCUUCAUCAGUAGGAAAUCUCUGUAUUAUCUUACAAUAUGUUAUCUUUAUUUUAUUUGGUCUGGUGAUUGUGGCUAUGUUUCUCAUGUUCAGAAGUAUUCAUUUUGUUCAGAAAUAUAUCUGACAUUUGUGUGCAUUUAUAUCUGACAUUCGUUAACAUCCAUGCACCGAAAAGUCAAAAACAAAAAAAAAAAACAAUCUUCAAUACUGAUAAAAGAAGCAAAUCUUCAGUACUGCUAAAACAUGGGGAGGAUAAGGGAAUACUUCAAUACUGCAAAAACAAUCUUUGAACAGGUUUGAGCAUCCUGCUUCAAUUACUUGUUCAAUCGGACCAAAAGGAAAAAAAAAAAAAAGAAAAAGAAACCAUCAGUUCAUAGCAAAUCCAAAAGAGGAAAAGCUAUCUUCAAGACGCUCUGACACUUCAAGCAGCAGUCAAAGGGAACAGACGGAAUAUGUGGUUCAGCACCUGGUAGCUCCCCUGAUGUGUCGGCAUCAAAAUGAACAUCUACAGAAGUUAAAAAAAGGGGGAAAAAAAAAAAAAAAAAGCAAUUAGGUCCCUCGUCAUUAGCAUUUGAUACAUAUAGGUUGAUAGCAAUGACUGCAUAUACAAAGAAAAGCCUUACAUCAAGGUUAAUCAAAGAUGACUUUGGUGGAGGCGAAAAAAAAAGGGAUCACUACAGAAAAGUCAAAAACACAAAUAAAACACGGACGCAUGCUCGCAAAACAAUUGCACAUAUUACACACACGCACGCACGCACGAGCGCGCACAGCUUUUGAGGGGAGUUAAAUUCUUUGCCAAUGAUGCCAAACAACAAACUAUGCGCUUAUUUUGUCAUUUCAUUGAGCUUUUGAAUGGAGUUAAACUCUUUGCCAAUGAUGUCAAACAACGCACGUGUGCAACCAUUUUGUCAUUUCAUUCAAUUGGAAUUAUUGUAGUCAAAUUCUUCGCCAUGGUCCAAAGGUCCUAUCACAAUCAAUCCAAUCCUAGAGCUUCUUUGUUACAUAAUUACAUAAUUAACCACUUUCCUCGCAGAUUAAUAGACCCAGACGUACACUUGAUCAAUCAAAUCACUCUUGAGCAAAACCGUCUUCUUCACAACUUAUGAAGAUUCAAAAGUUUCUUUUAUUUUCCCAUCUAACCUAACUUCAUCAGCUUUUUUUAUUCCUCUUUUACAAUAGUUUAUCAUAUUUCUAGUUCAUCCAGCUCGUAGAAAAAUGAAAAAAACACACAAUAGCACAAGGGUCAAAUAUCUUUUUUCUAGAUACUUAGUAAUCCUAAAAGAGAACCUCAAAAUCAAUCUCUCAUCUAAAAGCUAUGGGGCGUGCCAAAUCCAUGCUUAAGGAGCAAAAAUUCUCCUUCUAAUCAUAGUAGCAAUCAAUAAGAUCGGAUUCAAAUCUCAAACAGGCGCAUAAGAUUUCCCCUAAAAGAACAAUUAACUAAGAAAGAAAACCCUAAAUUCAUAAUCCACAAAUGACCUCAUUCUCUAUUUAUUAAAAAAGAAAGUAAGACACAAAAAAAAAAAAACCCCCAAAAGAACAGAAGAACACAACACACGGAACCGUAAAACAGGCUCACCACAAGGAAAGCAUAGAAUGUAUAGGAGUAAAGGCACAUCAAUUAGUCUUUAUCUAGUAGGAUAAAAGACCAUUAUCUGAUCGGCAAUCAUCAUUUAAACAUGAUUGAGUGAACACCAUAUCAAAUAGGAAAAGAAUAAAUAAAUCUAACAAGGAUAUCUUUCUCCGGUUGCUUUAGCACCAAAAUAAGUUUAAAGAAGGAAAAUAGUGAAGGUAAAAACCAUAAAUCUGGCUGAUGAUCUCUUCCUCCAUUCUAAUUAUGCCGGCUUGGCAUAAAAGGAAAAGUAAAAGAAAAAAAAAAAAAAAACCCGGGAAAAAUCGACAAAAACAAAAACCCCUAGGUCCAUUUUCACCACAAGGAUCAAACACAAAAGGCACAAGAAAUGAAGUGCUAUCAAUCAAUCGAGUAAUCUAUCUCUUCUCUCUUCUUUCUUACUUAGAUUGGGGAGUAGAAUAUCGAAUCGAAGAAAAAAUAAAAAGCCAAACUCUAGAUGGAACCGAACACAAGAAUCGAAAGAAAGAAAGAAACUACUGACCUGGCUGAACAUGCUCUUGCUCUGGUGGUUUUCGCCGGCGAGCUGGAUGGCGCCGGAGACCGAGAGGAGCAAGCCACACUGGGGGCCACCCUGGGGGUCAGAGUCCUGGCAGCAGUCGACGUUGUAGAUGUCGUGGAGCUGGAAGGGGAGGGAGGCUAGCUUGGCGACGAUGGCCUGCGCGCCCUGGAUCUUGUCGCCCUCGAACGUUAGCAUCGACCCUUCCUGGUACAGCUCCCCCAGCGCCGCCCGGUUCCGGUUGAACGUCAUGCAGUAGUGCUCUACGAACUCCCGCGCCAUCACGUCCGGAUCGAUCGAUCGAUCGCUCGCUCGCUCGUCCAUUGUUAAGAAGAUGUAAAUGAUCACGAUGAUCUCUCUCUCUCUCUCUACUCUCGACAGAGAGGGAGAGGGAGAGGAAGAGGCAGAGGCGAACGGAGGAGAGGAGGGGGGCAGCGGCAGCGCUCCUUAUGUAUGAUGAUAAUAAUACAUAUAUAUAGGGAUAUAAAUGAGAAACCCUCCAAAGUCGGUGAUUAAUGGAUGUGCUAACCUACUUUCGCCCACCACCCUUUUUUUUGGUGCACCCGGUGUACCAUGUUUACUUUAAAAUUUUAAUUUUAAUUUUAAUUUAAUAUAAUAGGUAUAAUAUUUUAUUAUAUUUAAAAAAUAUAUGUAAAAAAUAAUUUUAAAUCUUAAAUUUUAAAUUAUUUUUUAUAUAUUUAGUUUUUCGUAUCAUCAUUUAAUUGUUGGUUAAAACUAAUAAUGUAUCCAAAUAUUUUUGAUUCGCUAAUUCGUCAUUAAUGAAUUGUGUUACAGGCCAGGUUGGAAAUACCAACAAAAUUCAGACGCUUCUAUUUAGUGCUAUUCUGUCUAACUGGGGGAAGGUAUGUUUCAAAAACUAAAUUGCAGUUAAUGAGGGAGGUUGCUGACAAAGUUGAUACGCAUCUUGAGCUUGCUCCUGCCCUCGGAGGUGAGCUCCGAAUGCAUCUCCGUAGUCAUGGCAUCCGCGAUCCGUCGUAGCUUUCCAAUAGGUGUGGCACACUGCUCCUUGAGCUCCCUCACUAUUGCCACUACCCUCACCCACCACCCCCAGCUCUGCAUUCAGUGCUGCACCACCACCUCAGCCACCGCGCACGCCGUCGCCGUCCUCACCGCCGCCUUUCCCAUCUCCUCUGACUAGGGGGAGAAAUAAAAUAUGUAGAUUAUACUUUGUACUUGAAAUAAUUGCUAUUUUUAUUAUUAUGGUGUGAUUUUUUGCUUCCAAAUCUUAUGUGAGUUUAUUUUAUUUGAUAUUUGAAAGUUUUUAUGUAUGGCAGACUUUUUUGUUGUUUAAAAUUAUUGAAUAUAGUUGCUUUCGUUUAAUUUUAGCUUCAAGUACUCUAAUUUUCUGAUUUCUUCUUCUUCUUUUUUUGCUUAUAUGGCAGUUGAUUGAGUUGCUUUAUAUCUUCUUUAUUUAAAAAUUUGUGUAAUGUUAGGAUGUACUACUCUUUUUUUUUUUGCGAAAAACUGAUGAGAUAAUCUUUAGAUUUUUUUAUCAUUAUCUAUUUUUGAGUCAUGACGAAGAAAAAAAUUUUGCACAAUAAUAUUUGCUCGCUGCAUCGCGCGGGUUACCUACACUAGUUCUAUAUAAUUUGACGUACUGAAAAAUUUUAAAAAAAAUAAUAAAAAAGAAAAAGAAAAAAGAGAGGUAUUGAUAGCAUCUUUAAUUAAUGAUCACGCAAAAUUUAAAAAUACAAAUAAGACCUAUGCCUAGCUUGGUAGUUUGGUACCAUGGCUAUUUUCUCAAUUUUGUAAGCACAUACUAUAAAAUUUAAUGUGUAAUGAAAACAACUUUAUUGUUUUUUAACUUAUUAGCUCACAAUGCAUUCCACUAAGAGAUAGAUGGCCAUUUAUUUUAAAAAAAAAUUUGGAAGCGGAAACAAAUUGUUUUCAAGUUUUAUUUAUUGUUGUUAAGUGAAAAAUUAUGGAUGAAAAAAAUUAUAAACAAUUCGCUAUCCACUCUUCCACUUUUUAAUAUACAAAAAUUUUAUUUAAUAAAGUAAAAAAUAAACUUUUUUUUUUUUUUUUUGCAUUUAUUCAUAUCAAAUUCUCUUACUCAACAUAGAAGCUUACAAAACCUUUUAAAUAUAUAAAAAUAGACAUUUGAAAUUUUUAUUUGUAAAAAUAAACUGAUAAAAGCAAUAAAUCAUUUACAGCAUUGUACCCUAAUUUAUAUAUUUCCUACAUCCAAACUUCAAAAUAUAUAUAGUAUUAAACACUAAAGAUAAGAUGGAUAAAUCAUUCACCGUAUAGAACUAAUUUUAUAAAGUUCUUAAAAAUUUUAUUUUUAUAAUUAUAAUAUUUUCUAAGUGUAUUAAUAAAAAAAAAUUCCACCCAUUAUGUAAAAAUAUUGAGGAAUAAACCAAUAUUCCGCCUAUAAGGCAAAGGCGAACUCACACAAUCGUCACAAUCGAAAUCCGUAAACACUGUAUCUAUAAAAAGCUCGAGAUUUUUAAAUUAUGGUUAGCAUCAACUAUCCAACAGAAAAUACUCAAAAAAAUGGCACAGCAAAAGGAUCUCUGUAACUGCUUUACCUGUCAGACUGGUACAUGAAUUUUCCUGCAAAGGCAAAUGUUUGACAGAAGUAAUUCUAUUCUGCACAAUUUACCCAGCAUGAAGGCAGACUGCCUGUUUGAUCCCGUUUCUGCUUCUGCUUCCGACGGCAGUAGGAUGGCGUAAAGCAUUUGACGAACAAAAAGUUUUAAACUUUCUGCUGCGGUGAAAAGCAGAAAUGAGAUUGUAAAGCACAAAAGCAAGAGCUCUAAUUUGAAACUGUAACUCUGCCGUUAAAUAGAAGCCAAAUAAAGCACUACUCAAACAGCACUGAACCCAAACAUAAAUCAUGUUUAGCCUAUAAACCAUCUAAACAUAUAUUUCAAAUUUAAAGUGCAAAAAGGAGCUACAAGGAACCCUAAAAAAAUCUAAAUAAAUCCUUUCCGUUCGCACGAAACAAUGAAAAGACAAAAGCCACUAAGAGCAUUCAAUCCAACACUCCAUCUUAAAACACAGCAUCCGAAGCACAUUCGCAGCUAUUUAAAAGCAAAAAAAAACCAUAGAAUUAAAGCAUUACCAUCACGUGUUAACUUUGCGCUUUUCCUAUUUUUUAACUUGAAAUAAACAAUCCCAAAGGAUUCAAUUGCAAUAGCAAUUGUGCGACCGAACAAGAAUGCGAGAGUACGAAAGAAGGCGCGAUAUUUUUUUCCUGCUGAAAAAGACAAGUAAAUGAAGCUCAGUGCAGAUAAUCACACUUAAAUAUCAAAUUUAAGGAUUGAAUUAAGGAGUAAUUACUAACCUCAACUGUUUCAAGGAUACGGGAACCAAAAGCUAAAGUUUAAUAUGAAUUAUUGCCUUCUCUCACUCUUGUAGAUUUUCGAAGCCAAUUGAAAGCCAACCACCGACAGCGAAGGUAACUCUUCACGAGCUCAUUCUUCAUUCUUUUUUUUUUAAUCUUUUUCUCCUUUUCUUCUUUUUUUGUAGAUUUUUUCUGAUAUAUUCGUCUUUUUUUUUGUGGUUUCCAUUAAAUAAUCUGAACACUGGCUUGUUGAAGCUCAUCGGCCACAGCGGACAGAAAAAAUAGAAAAACGCCGACUAGCCAGAUUUCAACCAGCUGCAGAGCCAGACAAAAUCAAAAGAAAAAGGAAAAAAAAAAAAGAAAAAGAGAGCAAUAAGUCGAAUAAUUUCUAUUCCUCCUCGACAACGUCUUCUGCAUUGUGCGGAAGGUCAGCGCAGUCGCAACAAAUGUAAUCGAAGAAAAAGGUUUCGUCCCAGUACUCCCCAUCCUUAAUGCACUUCCCGCACUUAACACACCUUUUAAUGCAAGAUUCACAAGCCCUGCAAAGAUCCAACCCUCCUCUACAGCUUUCCCUAGGGCAAUCAUAGACAAGCCGGCAUCUAUAGCACUUAGGGCACAUCUCGACAUCGAGCGGGCGCUCAUCGCCACAAUCUAAAGAAAAGCGAUCGACGUGAAAGAACCACAGCUUUUUUUUAGCAUUUGGUUUCUGAAGUUGGUUUACGCCUAGUAAUAACUUGAUCUGUUCAAACUGUUCCUUUGAUAUGCGGAAGAGCCGGCCAAGUCUGAGGUGUUUUAUUCCGGAAGAACCUGACGAUUUAAAAGCUGUCAGGUUGCUGAUGAGACCGGGUGUUGUCAGACCCGUACAUUCCAGGAGAUUCAACUGCAUGACAAAAUAAGAUGCCAUUUUUUUUAUGACAAGAAAUAAUGAAAAGAAAAAGAAAUACAACAGAAUAUCAAUAUACACAACCGACAAUUGGUACCCACUCUACUCGACAAUUAUAUAGAGAAAAAUAGUUCAUAAGCUGCAUAAAAUCAUAAUAUUAAUACCCAAAACCAUCCUAACAAUAAAAGCUCGCUAUGUUUCCCAAUCACUGGAGUAAACUGUUAGCUAAUAUAUUGAAGCAAUAGAUGAUGGAUUCGCCUGAAAGGGGAGUUUAAGAAAAUCAAAGGUCGUCCUUAACAUGCUGACAACCAAAAUAAAGCUCUUUGGCACCACAAAAAUUUGACUGAGAAUCAAUAGAAAGUAGGAAACUUAACACAAAACCAACUCUACACAAAAGUAAAUUACUUGAGCCAAUUAUAAUCGAUGCUAGACUUGAUCCACCAAAUUACACUCAAUUUAGCGUACUGAGCCGAUGUACAUUUCCCCAAUGUGUUAGACCACCAAUUUACUGGUGGCUCGUUUAGUAACACGAUGGGUGAAACAGAGCAUUCGAAACGAAAAGUUUGGCCCAGAUAUGCAAAUGCAAUGCUCGAACAAAUAAACUCCAAAAAACUACAUUUUGGUCUAAUAGAAUAAGCAAUAUCAAGGCAAUCAAGCACAUUCAGAGCUCCGGAAUAUCAUUUCCCAAUAUUUGCAGUGUAUCUGCAAUAGAACAAAGCAUACCAUUGUUACCAAUCAAAACCAAUGCAUAUUGUCCUUUUUUCUUCUUACUAUUGUCCUUUUUCCUUCUUACUCUUGUUGUUUUCUUAGUUGCUUCUUGUCCCAAAUAAUAUAAUUUUUGAAUAUGUGGUAUGAAAUAUACGUCUUUUCCACAGGAAAAUUUUUUUUAAAAAAAUCCCAGAAUAAGUUAUAAGAUCAUUUAAUUGUUAUGUUAUAAAAAUAGAUAGUGGUUGGAAGCAUCAGCUAAUCGCUACAGAAAGUUGGAUAGCCCAAGAUAAACGAUGUUGCACAGUAAGCCUUGCAUUCUACAUGAUAUUCCCGUAAGAUUUCAUUAACAGACUUCAAUCUAAAAUUUACUCAUAGAACUUCAGUCCGUACCAACUCUGCACCAAUCGGUACAUUAAUUAUCAAAAAUUACAUGUAAAACAUUCAAUGUUUUUAAGAGAAAGUAGUCUAUAGAUAUCCAGGUGCACAUGGACUUCAAAGUAAAUUAAACGAUGUUUUAAAACAUAAUGAAAAGAAAUUUAAAAAUAAGCAAUAAGUAAAGAGAAACACAUACAAUAAACAACAAGAAUAAGAAAACAUAAAACAACAUACCUAAAUACAUAGAGUAUAUAACACAUCGAAUUCCCAAGUAACUUUUCAAGAACAUGUACUAAGAAUGAAAAAGACGAAUAACCAAAUAUGAUUGUCAAGUUUCCAAGUAGCCCAUCACAGAAGUGCCAUGCUAAACCGACUUUUAUAUGCUUAAAAUUAAUGAUAGUAGGCAGGUUGCUCAUGUGUGUACUAUAUCGCACCUAUGCCACAUGCUGAGCCAUCAAUGCAAAUUGCAGAGUGAUAAAGCGACUACACCACAUAGGCUGGCGCAUAUGUGGGUACAUGAACAGCAUCUUUAGAGAUCGUAAAUAUGUGGUAAUUAAAAAAGUCAUUUAUUUCUCUUACAUUGAGCAAGAGCAGAUACAGAUUAACAAACUUGCUUUGCUGUAACAUCAGGGAAAAGCAAAAUUACCACCUUGGGUGAAAAAAAAACUACAAUCUGAAUGUAUGAGCAAUAUAUACUCGCAUAAAACUCAUUUUGCGCUUGUACUUUACGCAUGCUUCAUAAUUAGUGAUGACUUCUAUGCACGGCAUUAACUAAUCAAGCAGUAAAAUGAAUGGCGAUAUCUCCAAAUGAACUGACUAAGAUCACAAUCAAUCAAUAAAUAAUUAGGAUGCCUAAGAGAGCUAUAAAAUUUGCAAACAGAACGAGUUUCAUCAUGGACAAGUGGUAUAGUUUGUGCUGUUAGGCCCAAAUUUUAAUCAUGCCCGACCCGUAAGAAAGGAAGGGGGAAAGAUAUUCUUAACGAUUAUUACAGUAGAUUAUACCUCAAAAUAAGAGAAACAAUUUCACGAACAAUCCAAACCUAAAAAUAGCAACGAACUAUGGCAAUAAGACAGGCGUUCUAUGUGAUUCCAAAGCAUAGCAAUGCAAGAUACGGAAGAAGCAUUAUAACCAAACAAUAAAGCAACAAUUCUCUUCAGCACAGAAUAAAAAAAGAAAAGGCAUUUCAAAAAUACCUUGCUCAGCCGCGGAUUAGCCGCAAGCACGCGCUUGAGACCGUCGUCAGUGAUCCCUACACAUCCAGGCAUGCUCAAGCACCGCAAACUGCCUUGGGCCCUCUGCGUCAGCGCAAAGAAAGCAUCGUCUGGGAUCUUACGAUUGAAAUCGAGAUCUACAUGAAUGCACCUCCAAAGAAGGGGAUCAUUUCGAACGGCAUAAUAAAGAGAUUUGCAGACCCUCUCGACCGAAAGGAGAUCCUUAACUCCCAGCUUACCAAGAGCAUAAAACAGACCCUCAUGGGGAACACCCACUUCCGCACUCGUAGCCCCAUUUUCGGCUUCACAGCCACCUCUGUAACCGAUCUGGGAUUCGAAUGCCGCAUUGCAAUAGCAACCGGAGCCAUCCAAAGAAUUAUCUUCAACUACAGCAUCACCAACCCGAUAAUUAACGGCGGGAUCGAAAGCGUUUUCCGGAUUCAUCUCAAAAGGAUCGGACGGCAAAAGCUCGACCAAAUCGACGAAAUCAUCCACCCCUCCGAACGACAUCGACAACGACGAAUUCAGGGGCAUCAACUCAACCCCUCCAAAAACCCUAAAAUCUAAACCUAAAAAUUUCCUUUUUCAACCCAACACAAACUACUUGUUUCUUAUUCUUUCUCUCCUGCAAACCCUCGAUUUCCGAUUGCAAUCGAAAAAAAAAAAUUUACCAAGCACCGAAAAUCUCACUGGAUCUCUCGAACAUUACCACAUCUCAGAUUAAAUUACAUCAAUAGCAUAAGAAUCAAAGAACAUGAGAAACUCAAACAAACCCUACAAACCCUAGCGAUGCUCCCUCGAUACCAUCAAGCUCCUAAAAUCUCAUCAAACUAACAAAUAAACAACUCCAGAAUCGAUCUAAAACAGCAGAAAGAGUAGAAAAGGUAAGGAUUUUUUGGUUACCAAUUAGAGAUAAUUACGAAACUUGGAUUGAAAUCGACCGAUCUAUUAGGGUUUGAUUGGAGGGGAGGAGCUCCCAAACCCUAAAAUAGAGGGAGAGGAUGGAGAGGAGCCCGCGAAGAUCUCUCCUUAGAGAGAGAGAGAGAGACAGAGAGAGAGAGAGGAGGAGGAGGAGGAGGAGAGAGAGAUUUUCUUUUAUUUUAUUUUAGUUUACCAAAAUAUUUUUUAUUUACUAAAAUUAGGAAGAGAAGGGGUAAAAAUGUCUAGAGACCCUCCAAUAAUUUAUUAUUUACAAAUAGACUCAAUUUGUUUCUCUUGAUUGAAGCCCCUCUAACUUUUGAUUUUUAUUUUUACAAAAAAAGAACUUCAAAUACCACCCCAGUAUUUCCGCAUGUUCUCACUUUAGUAUUUUAUAAUUUAAACCGUAUCACUUUAGUAUUAUGUGAUUUUAUUUUUUUCUUUUCGUUAUCCUCUUUAUUAAUUUUUUUGUUAAAUCAAUAAAAAGUUAAAAUUAUAGAAUACUAAAAUAAAAAUUUCGUAAAUCACAGAAUAUUAAAGUAAUUAUUUGAUAAACUACAGGGGCAUUUGAAGUUUUUUUUAUAUAUAUUUUAACAGAGAGUUAAAUGAUAGAACGACGGAAAGAAAAAAACGAAAUCACAGAGUACUUGAAUCUACAUAGUAUUAAAGUAAAAAAGUGCUAAUCGGGAUAUUUGAAGUUUUUUAUUUUUCUAAUUAAAUUUGCCAAUCAAAAUUAGUAAUAAUUUUAUUAAAUUUGACUACUCUGUCUAUAAAUAUUGAUGCAAUUUUUUAUUUUUUUAUUCAAUUAAUAUAAUGAUUUCGAUAAAUGUAACUAUUUUGAAUGCUUUUAGUUGAUUAAACUGAAUAGCUGAGAGUUAAUGUCGUCAUUAAUUUUUAACAAAUUUUUAAUUUAUUCCAAAAAAAUAUAAUUUAAAUUAUUUAUAAUUAAACGUUAAAGGGAAAGUUAGAGGACCUAUUUCAAAUUUCUCUAUAAGUGAGGGGUCAGGAAAAAUUAGAGUGAAGCAGUGGCAACGACACGUGUAAAGCACGAGAGGGGCUUCGGUGGCAACGACACGUGUAAAGCACACCGAGUCCUCUUUAGCCGUUGGAUCAUCAAUCGACGUUGAUUACACGAUCAAAUAAAUUCCCCGAUUUUGGUUUAAAUAAUAUCUAUUCCGUUCGAGCUCUGAUUCUUCUGGAACCGUUGGAUCAUAAAUCGACGUUGAUUAGAUGAUAUUCUUAGAUACUUCAAAUCUGGGUCUAAAUUCGUGUAUCUGUGUUGGGCCGUACUUGGCCCAAUGGUUAAUUGCACGAUUGGUCCUCAACUUAUGAGGGCGUGACAUUUCGAUCCUCAAACUUUAAUUUAUUCUAAUUUCUGACUCAAACUAUCAGAAUUAAUGUAAUCAAGUUUCAUAAUCUAAUUUAGUCGACGAAAUGAUAACGCAUCGACACAUCUUAAUUUUUAUUAUAUCAUCAAUUACAAUAAUUACACACCACUUUUACAUCAAUAAUUUAUCAAUAUUAAGCCCUAAGGGUGGCAAUUCGGCUCGCUGUUAGUGAGCCAGCUAAUGUUCGCCUCAAAAUGGGCUUGAAAUCGAAUCGCUUAUUUAAAACAAGCCGAGCACGAACUGAAUUUUCCAGCUCGUUUAAUAAACGAGUCGAACGUGAGCUGGGUCAGCUUGCUCGUGAUCGGCUCGAUAACAGUUCAAAUACAUACAUAUAUAUAUACAUAUAUAUAUAUAUAUAUAUAUAUAUAUACACAUAUAUAAUAUAAAUUUUUAUUAUUUGGUUUUUAGUUUAACCUAAAUAUAAAGUCCAACUCAAUUAUAAAAAAAGUCAUUUAUUUGUAAAGUUUUAACUAUUAGAUCAAAGACAAAUGGAUAAGGUCUCAUAAAUUUAUUUUCUAUACGUAUUUUUCAUAAUUCUUUUAACUUGUUAUUCAUGAGCCAGCUCGUGUUUGGACACGAGCUGAAUUUUUCGGCUUGAUACUUUAAUGAGUCAGAUUGUAUUCAGCUCGUUUAUGAAACGAGUCGAAUAUGAGCUGGCCUCAACUCGCCCGUGUUCGGCUCGUUGACACCCCUAAUUUAGCUAACUAAAUUGGGUUGUGGAACUUGAUUGUUUUAAUUUAAAAAGUUCUGCUUAAAGGUUACAACAAGCUAGAGUUUGAGAACCGCAAGUGUUACCUUACCUAUAGUUUGAGCCUGUUAGUUAAUUCGCGAAUUACUGAAAAUUCGAACUAAACGGUUUAUUUACGAAUUUUUUUCAAAGAAAGAGAAUUAUUCGCGAAUUUUUGGGCGAGCCGAAUAAUUCGCGAAUUAUUCUUGAAUUAUUAAAAAUUUGAAUAAAAAAUUUAUAAUUUUUAUGUUUAAAUAUAGAUUAUUUUAUAUAUUAUAUCUUAUAUUUUAUAUUUUAUACCGAAUCCGUUUUUUAAGCCGAAUUUUUCAAUAAAUUUAAAAAUUAGAAAAUAAAUGUUAUACGUAUUAUACCCUUUUAGGCUGCGUUUGGUUGGAGGGAUAUCCCAGAACAAAGCGGGAUAUCCCUCCAAACACAAUGCAUUUUGGAACAAUCGGGUUGUUCCCGGCUUAACGGGUUGUUCCAGAAACAACCCGGUAAGCUUGUUCUCCGGAGAACAAGCCGGAACAAGAGAUUUGGGCUUUUUUUUCUUUUUUUUUUUCUGGCCUUUUAAUUUUUUAUACUUUAUUUUAAUUAAUUUCAAAUAAAUUAAAUGAAUGCUCAAAUUUAAUAAAUAAAUAUAUUAAUAUAAAUAUUAUUUUUAUGAUAAUAAAUUUUAUUAUAUAAUAUAAAUUAAUUAAAUUUGAUAUAUAUUUUAUUUUAUUAAGUUUUAUCAUUUAUAUAUUAAUAUUUAAUUAUUUUAUUUUAUAUUAAUUAUUAUAUACAUAAAAUUAUUUUUUCAUAUAUUAUAUAUAAUUUUUUAACUUGUAUGAAAUUUAUACUUAAAUUUUUAUGAUAAUUAUUUAUACUUAAUUUUUAUAUAUAAUAAUUAAAUUAAUUAAAUUUGAUAUAUAUUUUAUUUAAUAAGUUUUAUCAUUUAUAUUUAUGAUUUAAUUAUUUUAUUUAUAUUAAGUAUUUAUACGUAAAGAUUUAUCAUAUAUAUAUAAUAUUAUAUUAUAAUAUAUUAUAGUAAAAUGUACGUGCAAAUGCCCGUAAUAAUUAUUAGAAAAAGUUAUAAUUUUUUUAAAUUAUUUUUUAAUUUUAGGCAUAUUUUAUAUGAUUGCCAAAUAUGUAUCCUAAAUAAAUUUAAAAUUAAUAAAUCACGCUAUUAAGAAAGAUAUGCUUAAAUGAUAAAUAGUUAACAAUAAUCAUCUAAUGCAAAAAUUACUUUUGAAAUUAAUAGAAAAUAAAAUCUGUUAGAAAUAAAUUUUUGAAAUUAAAUAGAAAAUAAAAUCCGUUAUCUUUAAAAAAUAUAUAUUUUGAAAUUAAAUAGAUAAUAUCUAAAAAAAAUUUUAAAUAAAAUAGAAAAAUAUCUUUUAUAAGAUUUUCACACUCGUAAUCUGUUAUAGAAAACUUACUUUUGAAAUUAAAUAAAAAAAUUUUAUAUUUUAGAAUUUUCACAUCUCUAAUCUGUUAUAAGAGAACUUACGUAUUCAUUACUGUUUUUUUUCUAUUUUUAUUCUUAUAUUUAAAAUUUUCGUACGAAAAGAGGAAAUGGGCGCUAAUUUUUCCGCCGAAAAAUGGGUCUGUCGAUCAGACCCAAAUUUAAAUAUACGUGCUUUUAUAUAAGUAUAGAUAUAUAUAUAUAUAAUUAUAUAUAUAUAUAUAUAAUAUAUAUAAUAUAUAUAUAUAUAUAUAUAAUUGCAUUGAAUUUAUACUUAAAUUUUAUGAUAAUAUUUAUACUUAAAUUUAUUAUAUAAUAUAAAUUAAUUAAAUUGAUAUAUUUUUUUUUAUUAAAUCUCUAUCAUUUAUAAUUUAAUAUUUAAUUAUAUAUAUUUUUUUAUUUUAUUAAAAAUUUAUACUAAAUUUUUUUUUUUUUUUUUGUUUAAUUAAUUAAAAUUAGAGGAUAUUGUUAGUACUAUACUUUAAUUCAUUAAUAUAUAUGAAUAAAUUUAUAGAAAAUAAUAUACAUAAAUAAUUAUACAUAAAUAAAUUAUUAUAUAUAAUAAAAUAAAAUAUAUUAUUUUAAAUUAGAUUCUUACAUAAAAUAUUAUAUUAUAAAUUACUAUAUGAAAUAAUUUUAUAAAUAAUUUUAUAUAAAAUAUACUAAUAUAAAUUAAUUAUUUUAUUUUUAAAAAUAUAUUUAGACGUUGUUCUAGACUUUUUAUCCAAACGCUAUUAAGGAUAUCCUCUAGAAUAUCCUCGAAUGCAUCCAAACAUAAAUUCACAAUUGUUCUAUCUUAUACCGAAAUAUCCCCUGUUCUCGGGAACAACAAAAGUUGUUCUCCAAAAUUUAGUUCUCAGUUUUACUGAAUUUUUGCCGAAUCCAAAUUAACUCACCAAACGUGCAAUCUACCCUUUUUAUUUGUGAGGGAAAUAGACUGUUGUUGUUCAUUGAGCUUAAUUACAGAAAUUACGGCUUAGUUUGGUAUUACAAAGAAAUUGUAUUUAUAUGCAAUGAAAAAGUGAAAAAGCUGAAUGAAAAAAUAUUUUUGUUUCCAUACGUAAUAUUAUAGAAUACUAAAGUUAUACUAAAGUGAUUAUGAAAUAUUUUUUUUGUAGUUCCACAAAAAGAGAAAAAAGCAAAUCCCUACGCACUUUAGUCCCAAAUCCCUUUUGCCCAAUAGUGCUGGAUGGGCCCCAGUAUGCAAGGAGGAGAUUAUAAUUCAAAAUAAAAGAAAGGCGAAAAACGGCAAUUUAGGAGCCGUUUGGUUGCAUAUAGCUGCAACUGCACUACAGUUAUAAUUAUAUAUAAAUAUAAAUUUAGUGUUUUGUUUAAUAUACUUAACUUCAACUGCUGCAGUAGGAACUACAGGAGAAGGUCCAACUACAGUAGUUAGAAUUAUGCACAAAUUGGCCGCAAUUCCAACUGUAGCAAUUGAAGAGAGUAACUUUAAACAAAAUAUAUGCUGACCUCCUUAAUUAUUUGUUAAACGAAAAUAUUUUUUUUCACAUUGGAAGUAAUUUCACCAUCAUAUAUAUAUAUAUAUAUAUAUAUAUAUAUAUAUAUAUAAUGAUAAAAUUUUAAAAGUUAUUUUUCACGUGCGUGCAACCAAACAAUUUUUUUAUAGUUGCAGCGCUUUCUACUACAUCAAAUUAAACAGGAUAUAUAAAGUUACAAUUAUUGUAUUUUUAAUUACAUGUGUUUUUAACUAUACUGUAUUUAUAAUUAAUUUUCUCCAAUUUCAAUUAAAUUGGAGAAAAUUAAUUACGCUAGGAGCUUGACGUAACUUAAACUCAGAACCUCCUGCUUUGAUAUUAUAUGAAACAACCGUUGUAUUCUAAAAGCUUAACCUGUUCGAGAACGAUGUUUAUAUAACUUUGUAUUUAAUAUAGAUUGAGUUGUAUCAUAUCAAAUUAAAAUUUGGAUAACAAAGUAUCAGAGCUCACAUUAAGUUCUUUACCAACAUCCACCAUGCAGAUGAAUAGGAAUAAAUUACAUUCAUCUAACUUACACCAUUUAGGUGAGCGAAAAAUAUUAAAACUAGCUCUGAGAUGUAUCUGGCCAUAUGGAUCUUUGGGGUUUCAAUUGGAAAUAUCAACGGGUUGGAUUUGGGUGAAUUUUCAAAAAAUCCGUAUCCGAACCUAACUCCAAAUUCGAAAUCCGAAUCCGACUGGUUUUAAAAAUUCAUAUUCAAACCCGAGCCCGACCAAAAAUCUGAAAUUCGAACCCAAACCCAAACCCGAAAAUCCAAACCUGAAAUAAUUAUUCCUCUUUUCAAUAUUUCAAAAUAUAUUAUAUUAUAUCUAAAAUUUUAAAAUAUAAAUUCAAAUAUAACAUCAAGUUUUUAUAUACAUAUAAUAUGUAAUUAAAAUAAAUUCAGGUUCAAGUCGGGUUCGGGUUUGGGUUCAGGUUCGAAUUCGGGCUGGGUACAGUCAAAAUUAAUAUCCGAAUUCAUAUCCGUCAGAUUUUUAUUUUUCAUAUCCAUAUUCAAAAUCAUAUCCGUUUAGUACCAGAUAAAUCUACUCCCGAUUCGAAUUCGGAUAAAGUUUUGAACCUCCGUAUCCGUUGAGAUCCCUAGUUUCAGUACCUUUUGAUCCCAUCCCACACCUUUUUAAGGAUUCAUUUAAUAUUCUAUUUAAGAUGAUGACCAAGGACAUGAAAUGAAGCAACAAUAAAUGGAGCGAAGUUUACAAAGUUAACCCUAAUAAUCCAUGUUAAUAACAAAACAAAACCCUUCUCCUACAAAUAUGCAAAUAAUCUAAAAGAUGAAACCAAACAAAAUAACCCAAAAUACAAAUGAAUAUGAACACAAAAUAUAGGACAAAACAACCCUAAAUUUUCAAAGUUUGUCUCUUCUUGUAAUUAAAGAUUUGUAUUGUGAGUUGUGAGUACCUCUUUGUGAUCUUCUCCACAUGUAUUUUGUGGAUAAAUCCAACUUGUUUGUAUCCCAAGUGAUAUCACCCCCUUUUUUUUUCUUUUCUUUUUUUUUUCUUUUUUUGCUUCUCCCCCAUUCUCAAAAAUUCUUAUCAUAUCACAACUUCAUAAAAUGGUUGAGAAGAUCAUGUGGAUGGAAACUUUUCAUGUACACAAGUUUUUAACUCUUCAUGGCAAUGUAUGGACCAUGCAAAUUGCAAUUAUGUGUAUUUUAGUCAAAAUAAAACUAUUCGAAAAAGCACCAAAAUUAUAUAUUUAUUUGCUUUUAUCUAAGCUUUAAUUUGCUUCUCAAAUUUCCCCCAUGGUGAUUCAAAGUUUCAAACUUUCCAAAAUACUUUUACUUUAGUCUUUGUUCUCAUUUACUAGUAGUAAAGAAUAACUAUUUUUCUGUAGCUGUCGUAUUAUAUAUAUAUAUAUAUUUGUGUACCAUAUAUUUUAUAAAUCUACACUCCCCCAGAUAAAAGAUACGACGCUAAGAUGGUGUUCUCCCUGAGAUGCAUUGAAACGCAGCAGUUGACUGGACAUCUAGGCAUAAAGCACUGUUUCGAUGCGAGCUACGAGAGCACUACCAAAUCGAGGCAAAUUCUGAAUACUAAUACCUAAAUAUUAACAUAUUAAAUAUAGAUUUUUUUAAAAAAAAAGGCUCUAGAAAGGUAUUACAAAUUAUGUUACAAUCAAAAUGGCUUUUCUGUAUAUGAGUUUAUUUUUUUUAAAAAAAAAUAAUUACUUUAGAAGCUUCAAUAGAAGAUUUUGUUUUCUUUUGGCAGGGCCAAAAGCUAUUUGGCCAAAAGCUAUUUUGCUUUUAGUAAUGUUUCAAUAUUUCUAUCAUAAGGAGCAAAGAAAAGUGCUCCAUUAUCCAGCUUAAAAAAAAAAAAAAAAAAUCACUUCUACUUUUUGAGUGUCCCAUACUCCCAUGUGCUUCUCUUCUCUCCUUAACACUCCUCACAUUACCACAUGUGCAAAACCAUGCUCUCUUGUAGUUUCUCUCUUGUGCUUUUCUUUUUUCUUUUUUUUUUUUUUUUUUCCCCACCAUUCUCUCUUUUUUUAUUUUUUAUUUUUUUGCUAAAUUACACUUGUAGUUUUCUAGGCUGUAAAAGCUGUGACACUUUGGUCAUUAGUUUCCAAGUUUUAGUUUGUUAUAAUUUUUUAUUUAAAUUAUUUAAACUUACUGUAAUCAAAUCCCACAACUUAGAUUAGUUGGUUAAAAGUUAGCGUUCCGCUGAUGUGAAAAUAAUAUGGUAAUAUCAUAAUUGAUGUCACAACAGCAAUUAAAAUAUCAUAUCUUUUUCAAAUUAGCGACACGUUAAUAUUUAAUCAACGAAAUAAAAUUAUUAAUCUCGAUUGUAAUAAUUUUUAAAAAAUAAAUUAUAAAUUAUAAUAAAUCAAAAUUUGAAAACUAAAAUAUCAUGCACCUAGUUUCUUUUUUUCUUUUUUCUUUUUUUGAGAGAGAAAGAUAGCAUGCUACCCGCUUCGUUUAUUUCAUUUAGAAAUAAACUUAGCUGGAAAUGUGAAUCAACUAGGAUUCGAACUUGGGUCUCGGAUACCAACCACCAAAUUCUUUGCCACUUGCACUUGGGACGGUCGGUGUUUCUAUUUUUUACUUCUCCUCAUUCUUUACAAAUAAUUUUGUGUUCACCGAACCGACUGUCCCUAGUACAAGUGGCAAAGAACUUGAUGACUGUUAUCUGAGAUUCCAAGUUCGAAUACUAAUUGAUUCGAACUUGGGUCUCGGAUAUCGACCACCAAGUCCUUUGCCACUUGCACUAGGGACGGUCGGUGUUUCUAUUUUUUACUUCCCUCAUUCUUUACAAAUAAUUUUGUGUUCACCGAACCGACUGUCCCUAGUACAAGUGGCAAAGAACUUGAUGACUGUUAUCUGAGAUUCCAAGUUCAUAUACUAAUUGCUUUAUACUUUUAGUUAAGCUUGUUUUAAAAAAAAUAUAAACGAAGCGGGUGGGCGAACUGUUUAUCCAGUGGAUUUCAUAUUUUCAGUUAAGCUUGUUUCUAAAAAAAUUUAAACCGAGCGGGCGGAUGAACUGUUUAUCUAGUGGAUUUUAUAUAUCUAGCUUAUUUUUAAAAAAAAUAAAUAAAACGGAUGGACAAACUAUUUACCCAGAAAUAAACUUUAUAUUUUUUAUUAAAUUUAUUUUUAAGAACAAUAAACGAAUCCAGACGACGAACUGUUUAUCCAGUGGGCUAGGGCUGAAUCUAGUUUUCAUUAAAAGGGCUCUUUUAUUGCUCUGUAAACUCACAUGCACUCUCUCUCUCUCUCUACUGUGCAGUAAUCUCUCUGCUCUUUUCCACCCUUGCAGAUGCUGAUACUCUGCUCUCUCUCUCUCUCUCUCUUUUUUCCAGUUUCUGUUCCAGUUUCUGAUCCCUCACACACUCUUCCUGAGCUGCUGGCCUGCUGCUCCUCUCUCUCUCUCUAUCUCUUCUAAUCUCCUAACCACACAUCUUUGCUGCAGAUCUUAAUCUGGUUUUUCUCACUUCCUCUUCUAACUCUCUCUCUUUCUCUUUCUCUUUUUUUUUUCUGCUUCAAUCUCACACACAAGAAAAGAAUGUUGGGAGUGGAAUCAGAAUUAGAGAUAAAAGAAGAUGAUACGGAAAAGAAGUACUCCUACCAGUUUCCUCUCCGGUGGGAGAGCACCGGCGACCAGUGGUGGUUCGCCUCCCCCAUCGACGUCGCCGCCUCCAACGGCUACCGCGCCGUCGUCCGCGAGCUCCUCCGCCUCGACCCCAACCUCCUCAUCAAGCUCACCUCCCUCCGCCGCACCCGCCGCCUCGAAUCCCUCUGGGACGACGACGCCGUCGCCGGCGCCGGCGACGGCGACGGACCCGCCCAUCGCCGCGCCUCCGUCGCCCGUGGCCUGUUCCUCGAGUGUGAAUUGAAGGGCGUAACAAUGAACGCGCUCGUGCGCGCCGGGUAUGGCGGGUGGCUGCUCUACGCCGCGGCGGCCGCGGGCGACGUGGGCUUCGCCCGCCACCUGCUCGACAAAAUGCCGCUGCUGGUGUUCGGGGAGGGGGAGUACGGGGUGACCGACAUGCUGUGCGCGGCGGCGCGGAGCGGGGAUGCGGAGGUCUUCCGGCUUCUGCUCGACUCCGCUCUGUCGCCGAGGUGCUCGAGCUCCGGCCCCAGAGAACCGGAGCUGGCGAACCGGCCGGAGGAGUUCCGGCGGGAGAUUGCGAACAGGGCGGUGCACGCGGCCGCGAGGGGCGGGAGUGUGGAGAUUUUGAGGGGGCUUCUCGAGAAUUGCGAGGGCGGUGGGGAUGUGUUGGAUUGCAGGGAUGCUCAGGAAUCGACCGCGUUGCAUUCCGCGGCCGCGAGGGGGCGGGUUGAGGUGAGAUUGUGUGCUUCUAUUGCUCCUCGUUCUUGCUAUAACAAUACUUCGAUUCGAAUGUUAAUUGUAGAAUUGUAGGAUAAAGUGUAAAGAUAAUUUAUGCACUAUCCUAGCAUUGGCCUUGAACUUACCCAUAUACUGGGGGGAAAAAAAAAGAGAAAGUGGAAAUGGUAAUUUUGUUAGAUAAAAGCAUAGGUUUCUUUGUGAUGUUUAUGGAUGGAUGCCAAUCUAAGAUAGCGGCGAAGACUAGAGUGCUUAAAUGAAAAGUUCAGGAACUAAAUCACACUACGAGAAUUCCAUACAUUUUCUUCUUUAGUUGUAUCUCGAAGAUUGUAUGGGUUCCUUAGUUGCUCCAUUUCGGAGUAGUUUCGUGCCGAGAAAUAAAAUUAGCAAAUGCAUCAAAUGAAAAGGUGACAAAUCUUUGGCUAAGAAAAGUCUCCAUUAAGAUGUGGAUGGCGGAGUGACGCUGAUGCCCCAAUUGUCUAUAUUGAAUAGAAAAGGGAUUAUGGUAGGGAAUAGAAGGACUAUGGACAUUAAUACUAAUAAUUACGGUUAAGCAUUUUGGGCUGGUGGUUUGAGUUCAACAAGUUAUUAGUGCCAUCGGGUCGGGUCAUUAUAUUUGCUAUCAAAGCCAGUUUGCCAGCUGGCAGUGUGAGGGUGGUCUCACAUUGUUUGGUGAUCUUGGGCUAAGGAAUCGUCUCCGACAAAAAUGUCGGGAUCUAAACUGGUGGUCUCAUAUCAUUUGGUGGUCUUGGGCUUGGGAACUAAACUGGUGGUCUCACAUUGUUUGAUGAUCUUGGGCUUGGGCUAGGGAACGGGAUCUGGCGAGAAUGUUGGGAUCUAGACUAGCUAGGGAAUGGGAUCUAAAAUGACGGUCUCACAUAUGUUUGGUGAUCUUGGGCUAGGGAAUUGGAUCAGAUGAUCUUGGGCUAGGAAAUCGUCUCUGAAGAGAAUGUCGGGAUCUACAUUGGUGGUCUCACAUAGUUUAGUAAUCUUGGGCUAGGGAACUAAACUGCUGGUCUGAGAUCGUUUGAUGAUCUUGGGCUUGGGCUAGGGAACGGGAUCUGACGAGAAUGUUUCACUUAUUUUUUGAAUCAUCACUUCUGAAAUGCCUAUUUAAUCUCCAUGUAAAAAGUCCAUAUGUUACUUAUUUAAUCUCCAUGUAAAAAGUCCAUAUGUUACUUACAUUGCAAUUAUACGUGGAUAUUGUUGUUUUAUUCUAUGCUAAAAUAGUUACGAACGAAAUUGAAACUAUACUAAAAGGUCGAGAAUCCUCAGUGCCUUUUACACAUAAAGAAAAUAACCAUAUUCCAUCGUUAAGCCAUUCAAGUUCAUUUUUGCAGGUUGUGAAGUAUUUACUGGCUUCUUAUGACAUAAUCGACAGGAGAGAUAACCAAGGCAACACUGCAUUGCAUGUUGCAGCAUUUCGCGGGCACUUAGCGGUUGUAGAAGCCUUAAUCUCUUCCUCGGCAUCGUCCUUACCAUCGCUAACCAACAAUGCGGGGUAUACAUUUCUUCAUAUGGCGGUGGAAGGUUUCAGGGCUCCCGGUUUCCGAAGGCUCGACCACCAAAUGGAUCUUAUGAAGGAAUUAAUAUCGGGAAAACUUGUAGAUAUUCAGAACAUUAUCAAUAUUCAAAACAACGAAGGCCGGACCGCCCUUCAUAUGGCUUUAAUUGGUACCGUGCACUCCGAUCUUGUCGAGCUCUUAAUGGCCGCUCAAUCGAUCAAUCUCAACAUUCGGGACGUCGAUGGUAUGACCCCAUUAGAUCUUCUCAGAAAAAACCAGCGAUCUGUAUCGUCUGAGAUUUUGAUUAAGCGAUUAGUUUCUUUUGGGGGGAUCUCGAAUUCAAAGGACUACAUCGCAAAAUCGGCCAUUGCUUCUCAUUUUAAGAUGCAUGGUUUAGGUAAUAGUCCUGGUACUUCUUUUAGAAUCUCGGACGCUGAGAUAUUCUUGUAUGCGGAUAUUGAAGCACCGGAGGACAGUGGGCGAGCUACACCGGAGGACAGUGGGCGGCUUAGCUCGUGCUCGAGCGCGUCGCAGAGCGAAAUUUCACAAUUUAGCCCAAACGGUGAAAAGUACGAGUCCUUGAAGAAGAAGAAAAAUUCCUUCUACAAGGUUCUUUUGAAGUGGCGUCAUCGAAAGGGCAAAAAGUCGGAGAAACUAAAGAAACUUGAAGAAGAAGAGUCGUUGGAUUCGUUCCAGAAAUGGAGUCCAUGUGUCAAAAUCCCGACUCCUCUACGGCAACAGUUCUGUAAGCCGACCUCGCUUCUCAACAACAAACGAACUUACGCUAUUAAUACUUCCAUGCCAAGUCCAGACACAAUGAAGAGAUUCGCCGCCAGUUUGAGCCACGGCGUGAUUCAGCCCACGCCGGAUUUGGCUCGCACUUCUCGCUCACCAUCUAGCUCCUUUUCGAGAUCGCCGAUGUUGUCGCCGCAUUUUGACAAACCGAAAGGUGACUGUUUUGACGACGAAAGAAAUGGUGUUGUAGCCUCUUGCUCGAAUUCGCCGGCAAAAAGUGGUAAGCUGAUGAACAAGUAUUUCUCGUUUGGGGCGCAAGGCUCGAACCGCAAGUUCGAGCGGUCGGUUCUCUCUGCAGCUUGACGCACCAGUUGGAAGAGGUUCUUGAAUCAUGAACUUCACUCGUAGAUGCUCUAACAUGGUCCAUUAUUUCCUUUAACUUGUGCUUUUUGGUAUUUCUAGUAUCAUCAUCAUCAUCAAAGACAUGCUUGUAUUGUAUAUGUGUGGUAUGUUUAGAUGCAAUGAAGCUACAAAUGUUGUAUAUGGUGGCUGAUAAUAAAUUGUAUAUUAUCCUCCCAUGUGCUUGGUGCUAUCUACUUUGCCCGUAUUUCGAUGUCGGAAUAAGUUAUCCAAUGAUAUUAUCACUCGUGCAGUGCGAGGAUUUUAUUUCGUAAUUGUAAUCUAGGAUAAAGAUAGGUGAUUUUGUUGAAUAUACGUAAUAUUCAAGCACUACUGUUUUGGCGCUCUCUGGCAGCUUAAGUUUUUUCAGAGACAAGCGAUUAUUUUAUAUUAUUUUUACAUGGUAUCAUAGCCGUAAUUUGCCGUAUUGCGAAAGACAGGUGAUUUUGUUGAAUAUAUCUAAUAUUCAAACACUAUCGUUCUGACGUUCUCUGAUAACUUAAGUUUUUUAGGGACAACCGAUUGUUUCAUAUUAUUUUUACGUGGUAUCAGAAGCAGAAGUCCCGAGUUCGAAUUCCACCAGCAUGGUUGGGCCACAUGAGUUGGGUCUUAAAAAACAAAACCUGGAUUUUGUGAUUAAUUUUAUUUAAAAGUAAAAGCUCUCAAAAAUUGAGAAUAUGUCAUCAUUGAAAAGCAAAAUAAGAUCCUAAGCCUGGAAAAUAAACGCUUCAUUUUUUGGUGCUUCUGAUUCUGAUAUAAAUUCUUUUAAAAAACUUUAAUUUUUGUAAAUAUAAAUAUAUAUAUUAUUUUUCGACGGCACUAAUCCAAUAGUACUCUAUCAACAAUUUUAUUAUUAUAUACUUUAUAACCGACCAAAUAAUUCCUAAUUUACUUAUCGUUACAUAUUCAUGCAAAUACUUUUGAAUAAUAUUUAAAAUUUUAUCCGAAUCGGAACGAGACAGGUUUAGCCGAUGCUAAACCAAUUUUGUAUUAAUAAUUUUAAUUGAGGUGAGGGGCCUAUUGGACUAGUAGGUAAAGUUGAGGGGUUGUAAAUAUCAAAAUUGAAAGUUGAAGAAAUUUAUAAUAUAAAAUAAAAAUGUUUAGGAACUGAACAGAAAUAUUAUAAUAGUUCAGGGGCUAUCCAUAAUUUUACCCAAAUGAGGCCACGAAUCAAAAAGCUCCCACUUUUUCCCUCCCAUGGCGUGGUCGAUACAGGGGGAGGAGUCGAUCAAACCCUAGCAACAAAUCAAAGGAAAAAAAAAAACAAAAACACAAAUCGAAGGGAGUAGGUAAGGCGAAUCCUUCUCGAUUUUACUAAUUUUAGCAAAUUUGAGCAAAAAAUUGAACAUGUAUGGUAUCAAUUUUCACAUCUCAAAACCCUUCAGAUCUGUUUUUUUUUUUUUUUUUUUUUUUUUUUUUUUUUUUUUUUUUUUUGCAUCAUAUUUCGUGAUUCCUAACCGUAAUCUGUUAAUUAGAAGAGUUAUUGUCAUGGAAAUUUAGUUUCUUUUGCAAAUAAAUUUUUUUUUAUCUGAUUUUGAACUGAUAUAUGCAUGUAUCGAUUGGGGAGAGUAGUGAUGUAUUUGAAUGCAGUGAUUAGUUAAAAUAAAAGGGGGAAAGUGCUUCUUUUUGCAGCAAUUUUCUCUUUUACAUAAAAUUACUUUGAUCUAGUUUGAAGUGAUACAAUAAUUAGUGAUGUAUUACGCAAAAAGGGCUUCUUUUUGAAGUUUUACAGUGUUCGGCAUAUUGUGUGUGAGCAAAAAGGGCUUCUUUUUUUUUUCAUUUUUCAUUUUUUUUGGAUGAAUUCAAUUUAAAUGAAGGCUCAUAUCCCUAAUUGAACUCGAAUAAUUUCGAAAGCAUUUGGGCCGGAGUGUUUGGCAUUUAUAUUUGUAUUUAAGAUCUAUCCAAAGCAUUUGGAAAUUGAAUUGAAAAUUAAUUCUGCUAAUCUUUUUCUAGAAAAUGCCACAAUUUACAAACAAAUUAGAGCUAAUUUUAGUUUUUUAAACUGUUAAUAUUACAGACGCCUUAUGCUGGUUGUGAUGUUAAAAUCAUUUAUUGGAGUACGCUGCGCGCUAGUCUUUUCUUCUAGUUCUUUGUUCUGUAAGGGGGUAUUCGGUUCCUUAGAAAAGUGUGAAAAACUAUUUUUCGGGAAAAAUGUUUUCCAUGGAAAACACCUUUUUCACAGUUCACACUACUUUUCCAUGAAAUCUGGAAAAAAACUUUUUCAGAAAAACUACUUUUCAAAGGAACCAAAUGGACGAAAAAUACUUUUUCAGCCGGAAAACUAUUUUCUGGGAAACCUAACACCCCACCCCGUGAUGGCUUGUUUCAACUUUUUAGGCCCUAAGCUUUUAAUUGCAAUGCAUAUCUCUGGUAGUCGAGGAAGAGGACUGUAAUUUCAUUCGCUUAUUUGAGUUUUCUUCUUCUUUAAUUGCUGCACUUUUUGAUAUAGAUGUGCAGGUUUGAAGGUUUUCCUAUUCAUUACUCAGAAAUUCCCAGGAAAUUUUCUGUCCUAUUUCCUGACAAUGGCAAACUUAGAUUGCCUGAUUAUAUCUUAGUCUUGAUGCUUUCAACAACUAAUCUGGAUACAAAAUUGUUAUUUUGGCGCACUAUGUAAACGAAGAACAAAUAAUACACAAAUAUUAAUACUUUGUUUUCUGGGUGUGUUGUUAGGAUUAUACACAAUGAUGGCUGCUGUUUCACCAUCGCAAAUAUUUUUGCGAUACUUACUUCCGCAUGCAUUCAUUUGUUCGCACAAGCAAAUUACACGCACCAUGUAUGUCUAUUAUUUUUUCAAUCCUUGUGAUUAACUUUCCAUCAAAUUUUCAUAAACACUAAUAAGAAGAGUAUCCGAGGAGAGUGAACAGUAACUUUUAAUAGGUUAUUGUAAGCAACUUUUCACUAUGAACUUGAUCUCGUUGUAGGAAUUUCAGAGCACGAGGGACUCAAAGGCAUCUAAAAUCAUUUCAUCAGUCCUUCAGGAGAUCAUAUAUGGCUGUACAAAUGGAAAAUGGGCAACACUCUAGUUCACGCGGUUCUCUUAUAGUCUUUGAAGGAUUAGACCGAAGUGGGAAAACAUCGCAAUGUGGUAAGCUGCUCUCGUACUUGAAAGGCGAAGGUUUAUCAGUUGAAGCUUGGCGAUUCCCGGACAGAAGCACUGGCGUCGGGCAAAUGAUUUCUUCUUAUCUUGCAAAUCAGUCGAACUUAGACGAUAGAGCAAUCCAUUUGCUUUUUAGUGCAAAUCGAUGGGAGAAAAGGUUCUGUUCUUUCCUUAGUAAACUGUUUGUAUUCGUUGAAAGCAUAUUGGCAAAAACUAUUUGACUAAUUCCCCAUUUACAGAGCUCUGAUGGAAAACAAGCUACAGAGUGGAAUCACACUCAUUGUUGACCGUUAUUCUUAUUCUGGUGUCGCUUUUUCGGCUGCUAAGGGACUUGAUAUCGAGUGGUGUAAGGUGAGUUACAUCAGUACCCAGAUGAUUUUUUGAUUAAAGAAGGCUGCUUAUCUGUUUAUAUAUAUAUAUAUAUGUAACAUAACAUGAAUUAUGCCAUUUCCUGCAGGCGCCGGAAGCUGGUUUAAUAGCUCCAGAUCUUGUGAUAUAUCUAGACGUACUGCCAGAGGUAGACAACUGAAAUUCUAUUUAUUGAUAAUCUUUUCAAUAUCCUAGAGUAUGAUCGAUCACUGGGCUGUCCCUGUGCUUCUGAAUCGAACUGUUUGUUACUUUGCCACAAGGUUAGAGCCACAUUCAGUUAAUUUUGCUGUAGAAUGUCCUUUUUAGCCUUAUUUCAAUUGAACUGUAAUUGCUAAAUCAUCAUCAUUAUAUGGGCAUAGGGGUAUAAUGAUCAUUUUAUUAGAAAAUUAAGAUUUACCUUUUACGAUCAAGUAGUUGUAAUAUAUAAAAAAAGUUUGUGGACUAUAGUAUUUAAGGACAAAGAACUGGAACCAACUUCCAAUAUCAUGAUCAUACGAGGAUUGCUCGGAUAACAUCUUAUUGUUGUAGAUGAUAUAUGUGUGUUCUUAUGGACUGAAGCUAAUUAAAAAAGAUGAAUCUAUGAUCAUUUUAGACUGGUUGAAACUUGCAACCAGAGUGAAUUAUCGUGUAUAAGUAAUUUGAAUGGCUUAUUUCUUUGCCGCAGAUCCUUGCAAUACCAAACUUUUGGCUCUUUUAUUUUUUGGUAUAAUAAAUUUUCAAUGAAUUUGUGCUAUUUUAGAAAGCAGCUGAAAGGGGAGGUUACGGCACUGAGCGGUACGAGCAACUUGAGUUCCAAAAAAGGGUUGCAGAGCACUACAAAACACUCCAUGAUGAUUCUUGGGAGGUAAUUUUCAGCCUCAAGAAUAUACUAACUCAGAAGCCCUUUACGUUCUUCAGUUCAAGGAUUUAAGUGCCCAUUGGCACGGGCUGUAUCCAUCAUACCAAUAAGAUAUCGGCACGAUAUAGCCUCAGUGCCGAUGGCACUGGUUAAAACCCUCUAUUCUUUAAAUUAGUAAAUAAUUUUCUCAAUACAAUUCAAAAGAUUUGAUAAAAAUGCAUAAUAAACGGUUAGAAUAUUUUGCUGCUAAAGAAAAUAAAUAUUUCAUGCUAUUAUGUAUCGGCAUACAUGAAUUUUUGGUGACCGACACACAUCGGCACGGCCUGACACGCACUGUGCCGGAAAGUUUCUAGCACGAUCCCUUGCCACGGCACUUAAAUCCUUACUUCAGUUGUUUCCUUAAUUCAUUCUGAUGUUUGGGAACUAGCUUCAACUAACAUAUUGGUGUUCAUGCAUUUCAUUUCGACAAUUGUUUUGAGUUUAUAUUGUAUGCUUGCACGAAGGAUGAACUGAACCAUUUGUCCCCAGCCUUUUUUAUACGAUAGGGUCCCCGACCUUUGCAUUUUCUUGUGAUCCUGCCCCUUCGUACUGUUGAAAAUGUAUUAUUCGAGUAAGUUUCCGCUAUCGGUUAUAUGAUGAUGUAUUUUUGUUAAGGACUCGGAGAUUGUUCUGAAGAUGCCUUGAUUCAAUACUUUUUAUACUAUGUAAUUAAGAUAAAAAUAAGAUUUUCUUUUAUUGUUUGAACUAGCACGACCCAAGUUCGUCGACUUCUCUAUAGGCCUGAGGGACCUUUUCUUUUUACGGAUUUAUUUGAAUUUUAUUAUUAUCUUCGAAAUAUGAGGCAUAUUAAUCUCCCCUUUUUUAUAAAUCUACAUGUAAUUUUCUCUUUCUUCUCCUUUUAGAACUCUGUCCUCUUUGCAUCUUCAUUUUUCUUACAUCGGAACCCCCAAAUUACGCGGUUGAUGUAAAUUUUUUUCUCCGAUUCUGCGCUUCAUUUCAGGUCAUUGACGGCUGCCUCUCGAUGGAAGCUGUGCAGCAACAGCUGAGAGAGCUCGCGACUAAUUGUGUAAAGACGUGCCAACGAGGAAAGCCUCUUGUCAGCCUCUGGUCGACCAAAUAGAUUCGACUUCCGAGUUCAAACAACGAAGCUGGAUUUAGUUUCGAUCGUUAAGCUCGAAUCAUAAAGCUUACUGAGCUCAACUCGGCCUUAAUCUUAUUCUAUAAGGCGGAUCGGAAUCGGCAAUGUUUCUACUUACUCUGCUCAACUCAGCCUUAAUCUUAUUCAAUUUGGUUGAAAUGGAAGAAUUGUGUUUUUCUGAGUGUUUUUUGAGACAGUAGAUUAAUUUUUUUGGGGCAUUGGUUAGUGGAUUGUGAAAGUGUUUAGUGGAAACUAAGAUGUUCUUUAAAACUUGAAAUUAAUGGAGAGUAUUUAUUUAUUGUUGUUUAAUCAGAGUAUCAAAACUCAGUUGUUUUCUUUUUAGUGUUUACUCUAGACUUUGUAUAAUUUUGAUUUCUUUAAAGCCUAUACAAAAAUUGGAGCUUCAAGCACCAUUAAUGGUAAAUUACACCAUGGAUGCAUAAAAUCUAACAUUUGUUUCAUUCGCAAAUAAUGAGAUAGGGAUCAAUUGAUUUGGUCGCUCCACUAUCUGAACAUGAUUCUGUUGUCACAUCAUAUGAAGUGAAUAAUGUGGUGUGGCAUCUGAAUUAGUAGUCAUAUUUUUUUUCACGAUAUGACCAGACAACUGAAUCAUCAGCUACGAAGUCAUCCAUUAUCGAAGUAUUUACGCAAUUAAAACAAAAAUUAAAGUUUAGUACAUUAAUCGAAACGCAUUUUUAAGUAUCAAAGGGUGUUGCUUGCUCCUUAAUCAUUUACUUCUCCAAGACAUUCUUUUAUCAUCUUGAAGUAAAGUGGUUAUUUCUUACCCAUUAAUUCAUCUCCAAUUAUUGGUAAUGGGACCCAAAAUAAUUAGUAUGAAAAAUUAAAAGAAAAACAUUAUUUAUAUUUAUUAUAUUAAUAUAGAUACAUAUUGUAUUGGUUAAUAUGGGAGCAAAAGGAAAAGGAAUUCAUUCACAUGCAAAAAAAAACCCUAGAUCCCAUGCUAUUUUGUAGGUGGCUCCCACGUGCACACGUGUAAGCAACUAUUUUGAUAUGUACCUUAUAUAUUCACUACAAUACAAAAACAAACAACAUGUGACUAGGGUUUUAUUAGUAGGAUACAAAAAGUUGCAUGCUGUAAAAUUGUACUAUAUCUACAAUUGAAAAAUAGGUGAAAAUGUUUAAGAACUAACCUUUUGAUUCUAUUAUUUACAUUUUUUAAUAUUUUGAUUUGAAGACGCAAUUUUUAAAUUUAUUUGAUUUAAAUCAUUCGGUGGCUCUUCUACCUAUAUGCUAAUUAAACAUACAAAAAUAAAUAAUGUAUUCAAAUUUUGAGAUUAAAGAAUAAUUAACUGACUCAAAUCAAAUAAAUUGUUAGAGAUAUAUUAUACUCAGUAUGAGCAAUAAGUAUUUUCAUUCCCACUAUAACUAAAUUUGGCGUGUCUUGUGGUAGUGUUGGUGCGAUCCUUCGAUUUAAGACAACUACAAUUGAGAAGGGGGAUAUAAUUAUAAAUAUGGUUGAAAACAACGACAGUUAUAAAUUGGAGCUUCGAUAGAAGAGAUGAAUGGAAAGGAAAGUUCACAUUUUAGGUGCAGAAUUCCUCUCCAACUUUUUGCUUUUUCAACUACAUGCGAUUUAGGUGCAGGUCGAUAUUUAGUAGUUGACUUGCAAGUUUCAACUAUAGCUGCGACAAAUCAGAACAAAUUUUUUCAAUUACUUAUAGUUGCAUCUACAUUGCAGUUUUAGACGUAGCGAACCAGCCAGAUCCUAACAUGCACCACAUUAAAAAUGACUUGGAGAUCAAAUUCUUUUUGUUCCUUCCAUUCACUAAAGAUAUAAUUAGAAAAAUUUUCACUACAAAGGUUGUCUAAUUGGGCUCAACUUACUUUUGAUUCAUGUACAUUUCCGAUUCGAAUUCGAUCCAUAUCAAAAGCGCCGUAUUGGCUUCCAAAUAAAUAUUUUUCGUAGGGCUCCAGACCGAGAUCUAGAUCUGAAUACGAAUCCAAUAAGCUAAAGAAUCCAAUUUGUGGGUCCAAAUUAAAGUGGAAUUUUGACUAGAUUUAGAUUGGAUUAUUGGAAGGUUAGAAGGGACCAUUUACAUACCCUAAUCACAUGAGUGGUCCAUUGAAUCUCCUUCUCCUACAAUGUAAUUCCAAUUAAGUACUACACAAUUAUUUAGGACCACUACAAAAGUGUUACUUUUUGUAGUUUUUAAAGCAUGCCAUGAAAAGCUCCAAACAGAAAGAAAAGACAAUUUUAAAUUCUAUCCAAUUUUAAGAUACCUCUUGAAAAGAAAAAAAAGCUAUAUCGGAGUAUUUUUUUUUUUUAAAGUAAAUAUAUUGCCUUUAAUUUACACUUUAAUUAUUUCCGUUGAUAAUGAAAAUUCACAAAAAAAGUCCACUAAAUCUUAAUUUGUGCUAUCUUAAAAGGUAUUGUUUGAAUAAUAUUUUAAGAUUUUUUAAAACUAAUUUAUAAAUGAUAAAAUAAAAAGGGGGUUAGCUAAUAAUAAUAUGAGAUAAACGCGAAUUUUUUACAUAUUUUUUCACAGCUGGAUUUUAGAUAUGAAUAUCGACAUAUUUAGAGAGAUCCUACAUGUGCAACUGUAGUAAAGUGUAAAUCUUACGCUCUAAUCAUUUAAAAACUAAUAUUUACUCACUAUCUUAUCAAUAAUUUUUUUUUGUAAUACUAAAAGACUAAAAAAUAUUUUUAAACUCUUAUAGAAUAUACAUGUAGUAUUUUUUUUAUAUAUUUAAGAGAGUUUUUUUAUUUUUUUUAAAUGGUUUUCCUUGGAUGUGACAUCUCACCAAAAAAAAGAGAAUUAAAAAACAAAAACAUGCACAGCUGGAUUAUGUAGAUGAUGUUGUUUCCUUCUCUGUAGCUAAUCCCUUACCAAGAACAUCAAGAACAUGAAGUUCUUUGCUAGCCUUUUGGGGAGCAAAUUUUCUUGGCCUAUUUAAUUGUGGGUCAGCAAUUUAUAGACUUAUCACUCCAUUAUCUGUUGAGGCUGUAGGAGAUAGGCCUAACCUUAAUUUAUUAUUAUAUUUUCAUGAUUAAAAGGAUAACAUAUUGCUCACUUAUAAAAUUUUAUAAUUUUGUGAAGUUACUGACGCAGUAAUAUAUUCUGGGAGACCGGCAGAGUGAUUCUAAUAAUACCAACCACUUGAUUAUCAGCUUUUUUGUCAUUAGAUGUAACCUUUUGACCAUUUCUGCCUCUUGAAUCAUACUAAUCCAUAACCACCACUAAAUUCGUGUGGCCGGCUAUCAUUCUAAUUCUACAAUUCCUUUUAGAGAUGUCAACGAGUCGGAUUCGGGACAAAUUUUUAAAAACCCGAACCCGAACCCAACUCUAAACCCGAGACCCGAAUCCGAACCCGAACCCGACGGAUUUUAAAAAUUCAUAUCCAAACCCGAACCCGACCAAAAAUCCGAAACCCGAAUCCGAACCCAAACCCGAAUCCGAAAAUUUGAACCCGAAACAGUUAUUUCUUUUUUCAAUAUUUCAAAAUAUAUUAUAUUAAAUCUAAAUUUUUAAAAUAUAAAUUCAAAUAUAACACCAAAUAUAUAUAUAUAUUAUAUAUAAAUAAAUUCAGGUUCGAGUCGGGUUCGGGUUUGGGUCGGGUACAAUCAAAAUCCAUAUCUGAAUCCAUAUUCGUCGGGUUUCUAUUUUUUAUAUCCAUAUCCGAAUCCAUAUUCAUAUCCAUCGAAUAUAUCCGUUUCAUUCGGGCUCAGGUUCAGAUAAAAUUUCGGGUAUCCAUACGUAUUGACAUUCAUAAUCCCUUUAUCCUAAACCUAAAAACAAACAAACACAAAUGACUUGCAGACUUGGUGCUAUUAGAAGUAUUUCAGCACAGUUGUGUAUUUUGGCUCUUUGGGUUGUGAAUCUUGUGAUAACUAUCACCUCACAAUUUAGAAAAAUACUACUUGUCUACUUGUACACUCUAGAAGGGAGUUGGUGAUUUACAUAUCUCUUCAUCCAAGGGUUCAUGAGAUAUUUAAUGUUAAAGAAUUAAAAAAUUCGGUUUCUCGAAUGUUGAAUUAUGUGUUCUGAAUAAUAUUUAAUAUGAAUCGUCGAUUUGAAAGCUUUAUCAGUGAAAAUGACUUGUAGUAAGAAAGCGAUCGUGCUUAUAAGAGUAUAAUAACUGAACUCAUAUGUAUAUAAAGGAAUUAUUAUAAAUAUUUGUCAUUGCACUAAAUAUUUAUUUACAUUUAUUUGAUGAUAUAUAAAGAAAUUAUUGUAAAUUCUAUAUGGUGUUCUAAGGAGUGAGGAAAAUAAAAAUAUUUUAUUUGCAUUUUGCUUUCAAACACUACCAUCCAUAAAUUAUAAGUAUAGAAUAAAUUGAUUAUUAUUCUGUGGAACAUUUACUCUUAUAGUGAGCCAUACUUUUAACAUAACUAUUUUUAUUAUGACUAAAAUACAGAAAAAUUUUUAUAAACAUAUGCUUUUUUUUAUCUUUUCGCUCUCAUUUUUAAAAAUCUAUAUUUUGCCCUCUUAAAAUUUCAAAAAUAUUUUUAGGAGGACACGACGUUAACGAAGAGGGCAAAAUAACCAAAUCGCCCUUAUUUCUUCUAUUAAAAAAAUAAAAUUUUAAUAUAUUUCUAUUAUUUUGAAGGGCAUUUUCGGUAUAAAUCAUAAAAAAUUGACAUAAUAGAGAUGGAACCCUGACGGGGGGAGCUAAAUGUAACAACUUGAUAUGUUGAGGGGUAAAAUGUAAAUUUUUAAAUAUUAGAAAGAGAAAGUAAAAAAAUAAAUAUUUAUAAGGAGAUUUUUCACUACAACAGAAUUAUGUUAUAGGAACACAAGUUUGGGACACUUUUGUGUAAGUGCCCCUUUUAUGUCAAAACAUUUAAAAAAAUCUACUAAGGGCUAAGGCCUAAAUAUAAAGCUCAAUCCAACCAAAAAUAAAAGGUUAUUCUACUCAACCCACCCCACCCAGUCCAUUCAGCCCGAUUACAAACAAAAAGUAAAAAAAAAAAAAAAAAAUCAAUUACCGUCUCUCCUUCUCCGCUCACUAAAUCCACUGAAACCCUAGACGAAGAGCUCUUCGCUCUCCUCCUCCUCUGUCACCACAGCCAACGAGAUAGAGUUCCGGCAGUUGCUAAAUGCUUACAUAAGUAUUGAUAAAUUAGUAGCACUCUUUUUAAAUUAUACCGACACUCUUAAACUGUCAAUAUAUACUUAGCAACCCCACAUAUAGCAACAUUUUUUAAAAAUGUUGGUAAUUUAGCCAGCAAAAUUGAUAUUUAAAAAUGUCGCUAUAUAUUAUUUUUGUUGUAAUAUUCUUUCAUUUAGCCUUUUAUUAUUGAUAAAAAGAUAUAUAUUAAAUUCAGUAAUUAAAUAUAUCUAAAUUUGAUCACAAACAAUAAUUUUUUUAUUUUUUUUAUUCUAAAAGUAAAAAAAUUAUUUUUUUAACAAUUUGAUCCCUCAUCAUAACUCUAGCACAUGGUGAAACAUGUGAAUCCCACUAAUAACAUAAAACCCAUGUGAUUACUCUGACAUUUUUCUCAUGCAUUAUGUAUUGCUUGCAUUAUAUUAGAGCAGCAUAUAUGGAUUGAGUACACUGGUUACAGCACAAGGACAAGAGAAAUUAUAGCAUAUAUAUAUACACACUAGAAAAGUAUUAUUUGAAUAAAAUUAUUAAAAUAAUCAGAUAUUUUCUAAUUUAUUUUUUAUAAAUAUUUUUGUAUCUAAAUUUAUAGAACCUGACAUAGUGAUGAUAUAUUUCUAGGAGCAGGACUGUUGUGCUCCCGUGCUCCUGAGCCGUUUUCGAUGAUAAAAUUUUCGAAUCGAUGAUCGGUUCCGUUAGACUUGAUCUAGCGUAUUUGAAGAUUUUAGAAAAUAAUAUUUACGACUUUUUGAUAUCAUUUACCUAACAAUCAAAAGGAUUCAAAAUCAAUAAUUUUUAACGGCUGAAAAUAAAAAUUCUAUAAAAAGUUGUAAUAUAGCACUAAAAUUUUCGAUCAGAAAUAUUGAGCUUGUUGUAAAUAGUAUAAAGAAUUUUGUAGCAAAAUUUCAUCUGAUUUGAAUACUUCUAUACCGUUAAACUUGAAAACGGCAGAUAUCAAUCAUUAAAAAUUAUUGAUUUUGAAACUUUUCGAUCACUAGAUAAAUGAUAUCAAAAAAUCGCAAAAAUUAUUUUUUAGAAACUUCAAAUACGCUAGAUCAAAUCUAACGGAGCCGAUCGUCGAUUCGAAAAUUCCAUCAUCGAAAAUGGCUCAGGAGCACGGACGCCUUCGUACUCCUGAGAGCACAGCAGUUCCUGCUCAUAUUUCUAGUGUGAUUUAUCUGACAUUUAUUUUUAAUUUUUAUUUAAUUUAUAUAAUUUUGAGUUAGCAUUUCCAUGUCAAAAUUGUAUACAAGGGUGUGUGUGGUUACUCCUUAAAAUGGCCGAAAAAAAUUUUUAAGCCUGAAAAACUUUUUUUGGUUGUUUGGAUUAUGGUAAAAUGAUUUUCCUCGAAAACUUUUUUUACAUACUUGGAUGAAAACAGAGUUUUUCGGUUUCCGCCAUUUUUACGCGAAAAACGAAAACUCUUUACAAAAAACGCGGCUCAUCGAAGCGGGAAAAAACACGGUCCACGAGAAAAGCUUGUUCUCGUGGACCGCGUGAGAGGACCCACCAUGACCUCUCUUUCUAUAUAUAUACUAGUGAAUUACCCGCGCGAUGCUGCGGAUAUAAAAUUAUUUUUAUAAUAAAUUAUAUAUUUUUUAAUAUUUUUAUAUAGUUUUAUAAGUCUAACUAUUAAUUAAAAAAAUUAUAUAAAAAUAAUUAUGUGCAAAGUAAAUUUAUACAAUAAUUUAUUUUAUAAAAUUUAUAUGAAAAGAAUUUGAGAUAAAUCUAUCAAAAUAAUUUAAGAAAACCAAUAAAUAAAAAAUUGUAAACAAAAAUUUUUAAUAAAAAAUUAUCAUAUACACAUAGCUAUUUUCUAAAAUUUAGUCCUUGAAAUUAAAUGUUUACAUAUUUUUUAUACAGCGAUAUUUUUAUGAAUUAAAUUGUAUUAUUAGAUUAGAUUUUAUUACGCGAUUAUUACGCUAUUAUUAGAAUUUAGAGAUUAAAAUUUUAAAUUUGAAAAAGUUAAAAUUUGGAAUAAUAUAUAAUUUAAACAUAUAAAAUAUUAAAUUUUAAAAUUUAACUUUAAAAUUUAAACAUAUCAAAUUUAAAUUUUAUUAUAUAUAUAGAAGGAGAGAGAAAAGGAGGGGGGACACGUGUACUCUAAGGUCCCCAAACCCGCCUCCCCCCCCCCCCCCCCCCCCGCCUCCCCCCCCCCCCCCCCCCCCCCCCCCCCCACCCCCCCCCCCCCCCCCCACCACCCCCCCCCCCCCCCCCCCCCCCCCCCCCCCCCCCACCCCCCCCCCCCCCCUCGCCCGCCCCACCCCCCCCCCCCCCCCCCCCCCCCCCCCCCCCCCUCUUAAUGUAGUAAAUAAAAUAGAUAUAUAUAUAUAUAUAUAUAUACGUAUAAUUAUAUAAUAUAUUAUAUUAUAUAAUAGAAUAAGCUGAGAUAUAUUAUAUAGUAAAACUUUUUUUGACUAUCAAAUUCAACAGCCUUGGAUGAAAGUUGUAAAUUAGAUGUAAUUAUCAGCAUUAGAGUUAAGUGAUCCCCCUAUAUUGAGUGUCCUCACAGAAGUUAUAGUAUUAAUCCAAUGGUUUAGAAAAUGAUGAAAAGAGUUGAUCACCAAGGCUAAAAACUGCUAGAACAAUGGCAUUAUUCUACUAAUAGUUUAAUAAUAAUAAUUUAUAUUCAUUACAUAUUAUGUAUAUAUAUUUACAUAUUUUAUUAAUAAAGUAUAAACUUAUAAUAAUUAUUAUGUAGUAUGAUAAUUUUUUAUAUUAAUAAUAUAUAUAUAAUUAUGACAAAAUACAUACCAAUUUUUUCUAAUUUUAUUUUUCUUUUCUUUUCUUCACCAAAACUGCACGAAAAAGUUGUUUUUUUUUUAUAAACCAAAGCUAAAGAGCGUAAUAAUUUAUUUUCUCAGAAAAUUUUUUUUACAUCGAAAACUACUUUCACACGUUUUAUACGUGAAUCCAAACACCCCUUUAAGCACAAAAAAAAAAAAAAAAAAAAAAAAAAAAUGACCAUCUAACACAAGAACUUAUAUUAGGUUAUAAGUUUAUUUUUGAUUCUUCUACAUUUUUACUCUAUUUAUUAUUGGGGAUAAUUGCCUAUAUACCCCUCAUACGUUUGAAAAUAUUCGAUUUACCUCUACUUUUUUGUUCUUUCUAAAAUACCCCUCAUAUGUUCUACCGUUAUUACAAAAUACCCCCGCAGUUAUCUCUUGUUAAGUUAACUUAAGUUAAACGUGAGCUAAAUAACUAUCACAGUUAAAAAAAAUUAAAAUGUCAAUUUUGCACUUAACUUAAGGGCAAAUAAAAAAUAUUGGUGACGGUAGAGGGGUAUAUUAAAAAGGACCAAAAGUCAAAAUACUUUUUGUGCCCUUAACUUUAAGGGCAAAUAAGAAAGUCGGUAAUGGUGGAAGGGUAUAUUUGAAAGGACAAAAUAGAAAUUUUAUAGAGAUAACAGAGUUUAUUAAAAGAUUUUAACUCUAGAGAUAUAUUAGAAAUAGGUUGGAACGUAGAAAGGAUAUUUUCAAUUUUAGCCUUCUAAGAAGGAUAAAUCGAAAAGUCUGGAACUUUUUAUGGGUAUAUAAACAAUCACCCCUUAUUAUUGUUGGAAAGGUGAAUCCAUAUAUAACUUUAACCAGGGAUGUCAAUGGGUACGGAUACCCGAGAUUUUAUCCGAACCAAAACCCGAAUGAAAAGGAGAUAUCCGAUGGAUAUAGAUAUGGAUUCGGAUAUGGAUAUAAAAAAUAGAAACCCGACGGAUAUGGAUUUGGAUAUGGAUAUAAAAAAUAAAAACCUGACGGAUAUGGAUUCGGAUAUGGAUUUUGAUUAUACCCUACCCGAAUCCGAAUUUAUUUUGUAUUAUAUAUAAUAUAUAUAUAAAAUUUGAUGUUAUAUUUGAAUUUAUAUUUUAAAAAUUUAGAUUUAAUAUAAUAUAUUUUGAAAUAUUGAAAAAAGAAAUAACUGUUUCGGGUUCAAAUUUUCGGGUUCGGGUUCGGGUUCGGGUUCGAGUUUCGGAUUUUUGGUCGGGUUCAGGUUUGGUUAUGGAUUUUUAAAAUCCGUCGGGUUCGGGUUCUGGUUCAGGUCUUGAGUUUGGAGUCGGGUUCGGGUUCGGAUUUUUAAAAAUCCGCCCUGAAUCCGACCCGUUGACAUCUCUAUCUUUAACAAUAGAAAGGUGAUAGUAUGUACUCCUCUUAAUUAGUAGCUAUAAAUGUUUGGGCACACCCAUAAUAAUAUUUUGCCCAUUCUUAAAUAUCUCCUUCAAUCUUUCAUUUUUUUAAUUAAUAUAUCCUUAACUUUUGAUUUAAAUUUGAUUUUAAUGAAUAUAACCAAUGUUUUAUCGAAUGUACAAAAAAUUUCAGAUACCCACCUAUAUUUUAUCGAAUGUACACUUUAGUAUUCCGUUAUUUACAGAAUUUUCACUUUAGUAUCCAGUAAUUUUAAUUUUGUUAUUGAUUUAACCAGGAAAUAACAGGAAGAGAAAUAUGAAACUUCGGAAUACUUAAGUGAUACAUUUUUAAAUCAUAGGAUACUAAAAUGAGAAAGCGCGAAACUACAAUAGUGGUAUUUGAAGUUUUUCAAAAUUUAUAUAAUUCUAUAAAUAAAACUAUUUAUAAUUUUUUUAUUAAGGAUAAAAUAUAUAAAAUAAUCUCCUGAUCAUCCACGGUAAUGUAAUAUUUCCACUAAUCAAAAUUUUAUGAUAAUUUCACGAUUUCUAAAUAAUUUAAAUAAUUUAAAUAAAAAUAUAUAAAAUGAGGUUUUUUUUGCAUUUGGCCCCCUCAAAAUAGUUUUUUUCACAAAUAGUUCCAUCAAAUUUAUAAUUACAAUUUUGGCCCUAUCCCCGCCACACAUGUGCCACAUCAGCGCCACACAAGCUGGGUGGGGAGGGGCAUUAAAUUGAACACGAUGAAUCAUUCAUCAUAUUCAAAAUUUUAAACACGGUAAAUGAUUCACCAUGUUCCAUACUUAUACUUUUUUGUUUAAAACUUAUAUUUUUUCACAAUACAUAUAUUUCUUCCUAAGAUGCGGUAAAUGAAUUACCGUAUUCAACUUAUUCUAGCACCCCAACCCUUGCUCGCGUGGGGUCUAUGUGGCACCUGCGUGACAAGAAUUGGACCAAAAUUAUAAUUAUAAAUUUAAUAAAAUUAUUUAUUAAAAUAAUUUUUUUGAGGGAAAAAAUAUAAAAAAAAAAGGUCCUAUAAAAAGUUUUCAAAAUUUUUAUAUAUUGUCAAACUUUUAAACGAAUCAUCAUCAUGAGGAGCGGGAAAAGCAACUCACUUUCGAGGGCUUUACUUUUUGGAAAAGAUAGGAGUGACUGAUGCGAGGGAUUUGCUGACGGCAUUUUGGUAUCUCACGAAGUGGCAGUGCGGACAGUGCAGUCGCGCAGACUUCCGUCCCUCCCCACGUGACGCGCUGAGACUGCUGUCUGCCUCAGCCUUUUGCCCCUCAAAAACGGUUGGUUUACUUUCUGCCGGCCCAACACGGAGGGAAAUAUUGCCUGCACCCGGUGUAUCCGUACAUAUCCGUACAUAUCAUGAACCAUGCUUUAGAUAUUAUAUAACUGCUUGGUUGUUGUUUUGUUUUGUUUUUUUUUUUUACCCCAAGUGAAGUUCAGACGAAAGUAGACUUUUGAGUAAAUCAGAGUCCUGGAAAAAAUUAGUCCUCUUUCGCUGCUUGUUUUUGUGAAUCAUAAGCACUAACCGAUUAUUAUAAAAGUACGUGCUGAUAGAAAGAGCAUAUUCAUCACACUUAAGGGUUCAACCACAGCACUCAUGGGUUUUGAACUGACUCAACUUACCUAAACAUUAGAUUUAUUGUUGGGCCUCUGACCGUUAGGUCUCUUGUGGACCGCGGUUUACUCAAUUUAUUAGGCUCAGCCAAUUCAACUUAUUAGUCUCUCGAGUCUAUUAUUACGCACAUAAAGUUUGAUCUAUUUGAACCCAAUAAUAAAUAUCUAAUAGUUUUUAUAGCUUUAGCACUGAAGUUAUUCAGUUUUGCUAUUUUUUGGAUGGAAAGUGAAGGACAUAAAAAUUAAAGUUUCCCGACGUUAGUAUUUUAUUAUUUUUUAUCACUUUUUUGUUAAGUUAUGAUAAAUCAAAUAAUAACUGUGAAUAUUUAUGAUCGUAAACUACUUCAUAUUUCGUGAAAUGAGCAUAUUAAUGUUUUAAAAUUAAAAUUCAAUUCAACAGAUGCUAGAGAAGAGCUAUAACUCUGAUAUAGGAGAGGCACAAUGUAUAGUUACAAAAUAUAUAUAUUUUAGGAACUUUUCUUAAUUAGUUGUUAUCUUUCAAAUUUAUAGAUUAUAUCAAGUUCCUAUUCUAAGUUUGUGACGGUUCUAUAAAAUAAAUAAUGAGAAAUGAUUCGGUACUUUUUUUAAAAAAAAAUAAAAAAGAUCUUAACCGUUGAUUAAUAGAGGGUAAAAAUGUAACUUUAAUACUUAGCAGGUAAAAGGAUUAUUUUAUUCAAGGUUAGUUUGGUAAUUAAAUAAUACAAUAUUUAAAGAAACUUUUAAUUGAGGUCCUAAAUUUAUGCAUUAAUUAGUACUAAUUUAGGAAAUUAAUUGAUUAACCAAAUUUAUGAAAUUAUUAGGCAUUAAUUUAGGAACCUACUUUAAAUAUUUUAGUGUUUCUCAAAUUAUGCAUAAAUUUAAAUUAUAGAAAUUUUAGAAAUAGUUUUAUUUCUAAAUACGAUGAAUUUAAAUUUUAAAAAUUAAAUACUUAAAAUUUAAAAGUGAAAUUUAAAUUAGAGGAAUUUCAUAUUACUAUUUAAAAACUAAAUUUCUACCAAGAUUUAAAAUACAGUUUAUUCGCACCAGUUUAAAACGUAAUGCAUAAAAAACUUAGAGAGUAAGAUUUCUACAACUAGAUUUCUCUAGAGGAAUUUCAUAUUACUAUUUAAAUUUUAAAUUCAAUGAUUUAAAAACUAGAUUGAACCGAUUGAUUUGACUGAUCAGACUUUGACCUAUUCUAUCAAGAAUCUGAUUUUAACCUAUUGAACCGAAUAACAUUAAGAACAAUUUGGAACCGGUAAAGAUAAUAAAUAUUUUAAACAGAAUAAUAAUUUAACUGUUAGAGCUAAUAAAUAUUUUAAAUAUAAUUUUAAACAUAUAAAUUAAAAAGAUUAGAAUUAUUGGUGAGAAAAAAAAUAGUUAGGAAUUUGAAUUCGAAUCUGACUAACAAUCACAAAACUUAUUUCCGAACUCGACGGAUUUCAAAAAUCCAUAUCCAAAUUCAAAACUGACCAAUUUUUCGAAACCCAAAACCAAACCUAAACCAGAAGACUAGAAUUCAAACAAUUAUUUCUGUUUACCAUAUUUCAAAGUAUUUAUAUGAAACUUAAAUUUUUAAAAUAUAAAUUUGAAUAUAAUAUUAAAUUUUAAAUUUAAAAGUGAAAUUUAAAUUAGAGAAAUUUUAUAUUACUAUUUAAAGUUUAAAUUCAAUGAUCAUAUUGUCAAAUCAUUUGAAAUUUUCCUUAUAUGAAAUGUCAAAUUAUGAAAGGAAAGAUAGAGAGAGCAAAAGGAAACAAAGAAAAAAUAAAAAUUUUAAAAAUAUAGUAGAUGUAAAAUGACUAAAUUGCCCACGUAUUAAAAGACAAAAAUAUCCUUUUUUGAGGUACCUGGUGACCGGUACCUCUCCCAAAGUGACCUGCUAUUGCAGGUCACAAUUUAAAAAAAACUAAAUCUGAGUCGUUGAAUAUGCGUGAAUGAACGGUAACCAAAAAAAAAAAGUAUAGAAGCAUUACUCAUAAAUAAUUAUUUGAGGUAUAGUAAGAAAAAAAAUAUUAUUAACUUUUCUAGCUAGUUUGCUUGCCAAAAUAUUCUUUUCUCAAUUUUUUUUUUGACGAGAGUAGGUCCAUAGUAAUUGUUAGAUGUGUCACGAAAUUCGGCUAUCAGUUUUUGAUUCGGUGUCCCUAAUUUGCCGACAGCUUUAUGGUGCGACAAAUUUUUUUAAAAAAAUUAUGAAGAAAAAAAUAGAUGUGUGUGGUGUUAAAGAAACUCGAUAAGGAGCAAACAGAUCAUUUUCUAUUCUUUUGCCCUGGAGGCGUGACAACAUGUCGAAAUCUUCAUAAAUUAUACUCUCUUUUUCGCAUAGUGGAGUUUUCUGUUUGGGUAUUCCUAAUUCGCCGACAGCUUCGCGGUGCGGCAAAUUUUGAAAAUAAAAUUUACAAAGAAAAAAGUGGAUGUGUGUGAUGUCGAAGAAACCCGAUAAGGAGCAAACAGAUCAUUUUCUAUUCUUUUGCCCUAGAGACGUGACAACAUGACGAAAUCUUCAGAAAUUAUACUCUCUUUUUCGCAUAGUGGAGUUUUCUGUUUGGGUGUUCCUGAUUCGUCAACAGCUUUGCAGUAUGACAAAUUUUGAAAAAAAAUUUAUAAAAAAAAAAAAUGGAUGUGUGUGAUGUUGAAGAAACCUGAUAAGGAGCAAACGGAUCAUUUUCAAUUCUUUUGCCCAAGAGGCGUGACAGCAUGUGGGAAUCUCCAUAAAUUAUACUCUUUUUUUUCGCAUAGUAAAGUUUUCUUCUCCUUCGUCCGUAAUUUUUUUUACGUAAGUUUUAUAUUCUUUUUUAUUAUUUUGUUGUUUGUCUACUCUACAAUCGUCAUUUUUCGUUUCUAUUUGUGCGCUCCUUGUAACAAUAAUCAUAAUAUAUAUAUAUAUAUAGAAUUAGGCUGGAAUACUAUUAAUAGUAAAACGCUCUUUUUGCUAUCAAGUUUUUAACCCUUGGAUGAAAAAUUGCAGGAUCAUGAUGAUAUUAGUCGGUUAGAGUUGAGUGGUCCCCCUAGGGUUGAGUGGUUCCCACUGAGUUAUAGUAUUUAAUCCAAUAGUUAGAAAUAAUGAAAAGAGUUGAUUCAAAGGCUAAAAACCCGGUAGCAACAAUAGAAUUUUGCUACUAAUAGUAGCCCAGUCCAACUCUAUAUAUAUAUAUAUAUAUUAAUACAUAAUAUAAAACUUAGGUUUUGAUACUAUUAAUAUUAAAACGCUCAUUAUUUCUAUCAAUUUCUAACACCUCGAUGGUAAAAAAAUUGUACGGGUCAGAUAUAUAUACGUUAGCGUUUGAAUGUCCCGUGGUUGUGUGGUCCCCUGGGUUAUAGUAUAUUAAUACCAACGGUUAGAAAUAUAUGAGAAAUUGAUCCAUCAAGGCUAAAAACGGUACAAAAUGGGAUUUUGCUACUAUAGUAAGCCAAGUCCAACUCUAUAUGUAUAUAUAGAGAGAGAGAGUUUUGCUCAGAAUACUUCGGUACUGAACGGUUUCGUUACUACUGAUUUGAUUCGAUGAUACGGUCUUCCAAAUUGAUGAUCCGGCAACCGUAACAUAAUCCUAUAACUAUUAAUAAAACUAUCUGUAAAAUCAAUUUCACAUAUUUCCGAUAUUUUAUCUUGUCCAUCAAGUGAACAGAAAAAUGAAUGGCUGAAAAUGAAUAUCCUUUAAAAGUCAUGAUACAAUUUUUAUAUUUGAGAUCUAGAGUCUAGAUCUUAUUUUAAAUAGUUUAAAAUUUUUUUAACAAAAAUUUAGUUGAUUUGAACUCUUCUAUACCGUUAAACGAGCAAACGCACUAUAUCGGCUAUUAAAAUUAUAGAUUUCGUGACCCUUUGAUCGUUCAGUUAGUGAUGCCAAAAAAUCAUGAAAUUUGAUUUCUAGAUAAUUUAAAUGGUCUAGAUCAUGUUCAACGGUACUGAUCGUCGAUUUGGAAGCUUUAUCAUCAAAAAUAAAUCGAUAGUAAACUGAGCAGUUUAGUACCGAUAGUAGGCCAGUCAAACUCUCUAUAUAUAUAUUUAUAUAUAUAUAUAUAUUCUUUUUUUC